rnacentral:lncRNA from 1 species
AUCCUUGGAACUGCAUUCUUCUCCUUCUCUUUCUCAAUUAGUGAUCAGAAAUUGCCAUAACUUGGUAUCCUUGGAACUGCCGUCAUCCCAUUGUCUUUCUAAAUUAAAGAUCAUAAAAUGCCCUAACUUGGCAUCCUUCAAUACGGCAUCAUUACCUCGUCUUGAGGAACUAAGCCUGCGUGGAGUCAGAGCAGAGGUACUGAGGCAGUUCAUGUUUGUCUCUGCUUCUUCUUCAUUGAAGUCUCUGCGUAUACGGGAGAUUGAUGGUAUGAUAUCUCUCCCAGAGGAGACGCUUCAAUAUGUUUCCACUCUCGAAACUCUCUACAUUGUUAAGUGCUCUGGUUUGGCAACAUUACUACACUGGAUGGGCAGCCUUUCCUCGCUUACGGAACUUAUUAUUUAUGACUGCUCUGAAUUGACAUCACUGCCAGAAGAGAUCUAUUCCCUAAAAAAACUGCAGAAAUUUUAUUUCUGUGAUUAUCCACACCUACGGGAAAGAUACAACAAGGAAACAGGUAAAGACCGGGCCAAGAUUGCUCAUAUCCCACAUGUUCGUUUCUACCUUGAUUCCGAUAUGGAAUGGCAGGUAGGUCCGAAAUCCCUAACCUUUCUUCCCAUUUUUAUUAUUUAAGAAUCAAAAUGCUAUGUUUUCAUUUUGUCUCUGGUAGUUCUUUUAUGUUGGCACCUCAUAUGUUUGUUUAAAUGCUCACAUCAAUAACUUUUUGAAAAAUUUUCCAGAUUAACAUCAUUUGCUGAUGCUGUGCACUAAACUAAUCAUUUUACUUGGGAGUUGUACAUUCUAAGAGUUUGAGGAAAUAUUGAGGUCUGGUAUGAUAACUCUCAAUCCUUGGAACUGCAUUCAUCUCCUUCUCUUUCUCGAUUAACAAUCCAUGAUUGCCCAAACUUGGCAUCCUUCAAUGUGGCAUCAUUACCUCGUCUUGAGGAACUAAGCCUGCGUGGAGUCAGAGCAGAGGUACUGAGGCAGUUCAUGUUUGUCUCUGCUUCUUCUUCAUUGAAGUCUCUGUGUAUACGGGAGAUUGAUGGUAUGAUAUCUCCCAGAGGAGCCGCUUCAAUAUGUAUCCACUCUCGAAACUCUCUACAUUGUUAAGUGCUCUGGUUUGGCAACAUUACUACACUGGAUGGGCAGCCUUUCCUCGCUUAAGGAACUUAUGAUUUAUGAAUGCUCUGAAUUGACAUCACUGCCAGAAGAGAUCUGUUCCCUUAAAAAACUGCAGAAAUUUUAUUUCUGUGAUUAACCACACCUAGAGAAAAGAUACAACAAGGAAACAGGUAAAGACCGGGCCAAGAUUGAUCAUAUCCCACGUAUUAAUUUCCAAAGUGAUCGAGUUAUGGAAUAUAAGGUCCGAAAUCCCUAACCUUUCUUCCCAUUUUUAUUAUUUAAGAAUCAAAAUGCUAUGUUUUCAUUUUAUUAUUAUGUUUUCAUUGUAUCCCUGGCACCUCAUAUGUUUGUUUUUACUGCUCACAUUAAUAAUUUUGAAAUUUUUUUCCAGCUUGGAUACGCUUUCCGAUGAUGUGCACUAAACUAACAAUUUUACUUGGAGUUGUACAUUCUAAGAGUUUGAGGAAAUACUGAGGUCUGAUAUGAUAACUCUCAAUCUUAAACGUUGUUUUGUGUUUGGAACGUUACUACACUUGAUACAUACCCUCACCUCACUUACAGAGCUUGGAAAUCGUGGCUGCCUUGAAUCGACGUCACUGUCAGAAUAUAUGUUCCCUCAAAAACCUGCAGACACUAAAUAAUCUGCAUCUGUUCACAGAAAGAUGCUGAAAGGAAAGGUGAAGACCAACCCAAGAUUGCUCAUAUGCCACAAAUUGAUAUCAUACAUCCAUGAAGAUUGAACUGAUACACAAUGCCUUUCAGGUCUGAAAUCCCUAACUUUUCUUCUCAUUUUCUAUGACUUCAUUUUCAUUAUCUUACUUUUAAAAUGCUCUGUUUUCAUUUGUUUUGGUAGUUCUUUGUAUUUGUGCCUUACUUGUUUGAUUAAAUGCUUACAUCUUCAAAUUAUUUUAUUCUAAGUGUUUUGCAUUCUAAGAGUUUGAGGAAAUACUGAGCUCUAAUAUAACUAGUAGAGUCCACCAUUCCUAAGAAGCUUACCAUUUCCUAGUGCCCAAAGGAUCCCGAAAGGAGACAACUUUGGAUUGGCUUGAAGAUUUCCCAUGGUCCAAAAAUUUGUAUUUACUAGACGCUUGAUACAAAAAGUAGUUUAAAUUUAGCCAUUAAUAUAACUUUUUUAUUAGAGAAAUAAUUGCCAAACAAAUGCAAAAUAGAAAAUGGUGUUAAUGAAUUCAGUCCUUCAUCUAUAUUGCAGUUUAGCAGCUUUUGUUAGAUAACAGGUAUGGGGUUGGGUUUAUUAUGUUACCAUUCCAAAUAUUCUUAAAAAAAUCAUCAAGGCUUUGUUUGUUUUCUUGAAAAUUUGAAGGAAAAAAUAAAGAGAAAAAGUGGAAGGAAAAAAAAAAGUGGAAGUCAAUAAAUUAUUUUUAUAUUAUACUUUAAACUCAUUUCACUUUUUUUUAACUCUUUGAUUUAAAGAUUAAAUAAUUUGAAAAUGUAUAAAUUUAUAAUUAAUCUUAAUUAUAUUUGAUUUUCUUUGGUAUUUUCCAUAGGACAAUUAAACUUGAGAAAAUCAUUUUCCUUAACAUUAUUUUCUUAGUACUUUUCGGGAACCAAGCAUAACCUAAAUGUUCUAGUUUAGUUUAGCAGCUUCAUCAAAUUAGAUAGACAACCUCACAUCUCUUAUUCAGCUGAGGUGUUAUGUUAGUUAAUGUUUUGUCUCUGCUUCUUCAUUGAAGUCUGUCUAUUGGAUGCACAGAUGAUAUGAUCCAAACUUAAAUUGAACGUUGCUCUUGUUUUGCAACAUUACUGUACUAGAAAGGCAACUUGAACUCACUUAUAGACCUACCUAUUGGUGACUGCAUUGAAUUGACAUCACCUUAGAAGAGAUGUGUUCCACAUGGAAAAUCUUUCAUUAUAUGCACCUACUUGCAAGAUACCAAAAGGAAACGGGUGAAUACUUGCCCAAGAAUACAAAGGGCCACACUUGGUGAAGGUUUCAUCAGUAAGGAGAACCAUUUCAAGUAUGAAAUCCUCCAUUCUCAUUUUUUGAUGACUUCAUUUUUAUUCAAUAUCCAUUUGAAAUAAUUUAAGUUCAUUUUCUUUAGAUAUUAUAUUUUCUUGCUUGCUCAAUAAUUUCAUUCAAGUAAGUUGUUUGGAUAUCACAUUUUCUUUGGGUUUUUUUCUUUUUAGAAUAAUUUCAAAAUGUCAUUUUUUACUAUUCACAAAAUUUGAUCAUAGUUGAGUGAUUAAAAUUCAAGUUUAUUCUUAUUAUCAUUAGUAGUUAUUUGAUAUAUUUGUUUGCUAAUACAAAAAUAAGACUAACAAGUAAUGUGCAUAGAGUUUGUAGAAGAGAAGAAAGAUUUGAUCCAAGAUAUUCCUAAAGAUCGGAAACUUUCAAAGCCACCCAAGAUCCCACAGGUUGAAUUCAGAUUCAUUCAGUUUACAAUCCAUUAAUUCUACUUAUAUCAUCUUUGUUAUGUUACAAUUUGCCUUUACUUGUUAUGCAGCCUACCUUAAUAAUUUGGGGAGACCAAGAUAAGGUAUUCCUAGUAGAAUUGGCUCACAAAUUGAAAAGGUAAACUUGUAUCACCUACCUACAUACCUACAACAAUACAAACACUAGCUCAUGUCUUUCUCACUAUUGAAAUUGUUAUUGCAUGCAGACAUUUCAGGUGAGGAGGCCCAACUUGUGAUCAUAGAGCAUACUUUUAUUAUAGAGAAGCCCAAGGAAAUAUUUAAGCACUUGAAAUCCUUUCUCAUUGAUUUGCUUCCACCUCCCAAGCAACACCUAGAACCACUCGCACCAUGACGAAGUUAAAAGGAACUAAUGCAACAUUCUCAAUAUAUUAGAAUAUAUCGAAGGAAGGGUGGCCACAUAUGAAGACCCUAUUCCAAGGUCAAAUUUUAGAUUUUUGUGUUUUUCUUAUCACUAUUCCUAUACUAUUACUAGUGCACCUUAUUUGUCAAGAUGAUUAAAAGGGAAUUCCCUAGGAUAACUAGUGUCUCAAGUGAUCUUGAGGUUCAUAAAUUUUUGGUUUCCAUAAGAUAGGUGCCAACUAUUUUUAUUUUUUUUACACCCAUGCAAUAUUCCGGUCAUCUAUUAACAAAGGCUAAAAUUUCUUGUAGAGAAUAGAAUAAAGAACUAAAUUACAUGCAAAUAGGACAUUAUUAUUCUAUUUACAAGUAAGGGCCAAAAAUUAUUGAGGGCCAUCAAGCACAUUGUUCCUAAAAUAAUAGCAUCCAUGUUGUUGAGCAAAAGUUUUUUUAUAUUGGCACCUCAUAUGUUUGUUUAAAUGCUCACAUCAAUAACUUUGAAAAUAUUUUCCAGAUUUUCAACAAAUUGUAAUGUUGUGCACUAAAUUAAUCAUUUUACUUGGAGUUCUACAUUCUAAGAGUUUGAGAAAAAACUAAGGUCUGAUAUGACAACUCUCAAUCUUAAAUGUUGUUUUGUGUUUGGAAUAUUACUGCACUUGAUAGAUGCCCUUACCUCUGUUACAGAACUUGGAAUUCAUGGCUACCCUGAAUUGACAUCCCUACCAGAAGAUAUGUUCCCUUAAAAGCUUGCAGACACUAAACAAUUUGCAGCUGUUCACACUUAGAGGAAAGUUGCUGAAAGGAAAAGUGAAGACUAACCAAAGAUUGCUCAUAUCCCACAAAUUGAUAUCAUACAUCCAUGAAGAUUGAACUGAUACAGAAUGUCUUUUAGGUCCGAAAUCCCUAACUUUUCUUCUUAUUUUCUAUGACUUCAUUUUUAUUAUCUUACAUUCAAAAAUCUUCUGUUUUCAUUUGUUUUGGUAGUUCUUUUUAUUUGCACCUUAUUUGUUUUAUUAAAUGCUUACUCCAGUAAGUUUGAAAAUUUUUACAUCUUCAAAUCAUUUUGCUUGAGUGUUUUGCAUUCUAAGAGUUUGAGGAAAUACUGAGCUCUAAUAUAAAUAGUAUUGGUCAUAGAGUCUUCCUUUCUUAAGAAGCUUACCAUUGACCUAAUGGCCAAAGGAUCCCAAAAGGAAACGACUUUGGGUUGGCUUGAAAAUUUCACAUGGUCCAAACAUUCAUAUUUACUAGAUGCCUGAUAUAAAAGAACUUUUGUUCUCUUUUCAAUUUAGCCAUUGAUGUAGUCUAAAUGUUUUAUUAGAGCAAUAAUUGUCGAGUAAAUGCAAAAUAGAGAAUGGUGUUAAUGAAUUCAGUACUUCAUCUAUGUUGUAGACUUGUAGUUUAGCAGCUUCUGCUGAUAAUGAGUGUGGGGUUGGCUUUAUCAUGUCACUGUUCCAAAUAUUCUUUAAAAAAUCAUUUAAGCUCUGUUUGGUUCUUAGAAAAUUUGAGGGAAAAUGUGAGGAAAACAAAAUAGAGAGGAAAAGUGGAAGGAAAAAAAAAGUGAAAGUCAAUAAAUUAUUUUUGUAUGCUACUUCAAACUCACUGCACUCUUUUUAACUCUUUAAUAUAAAAAUUAAAUCAUUUGAAAAAUGUAUAAAUUUCUAAUUAAUUUUAAUUAUAUUUGAUUUUCUUUGGUAUUUUCCAAAAGACAACCAAAUAUGAGAAAAUCAUUUUCCUUAACAUUUUUUUUCUUAGUACUUUUAGGGAACCAAACAUAACCUAAAUGUUUUAGUUUAGUAGUUUCAUCAAAUUAGAUAGAUAACCUCACAUCUCUUAGUGAGCUGAGGUGCUAUGUUAAUUAAUGUUUUGUCUCUACUUCUUCAUUGAAGUCUCUAUCUAUUGGACGCACAGAUGAUAUGAUCCAAACUCAAAUUGAACACUACUCUUGUUUUGCAACAUUACUUUACUCAAUAAUUUCAUUCAAGUUCUUUGGAUAUCGCAUUUUCUUUGGUGUUUUUUUUAGAAUAAUUCAAAAUGUCUUUUUUAACGGUUCACAAAAUUUGAUUACAGUUGAGUGAUUAAAAUUCAAGUUUAUUAUUAUUAUUAUUAUUAUUAUUAUUAUUAUUAUUAUUAUUAUUAUUAUUAUUAUUGGUUAUUUGAUAUAUUUUUUUUCUAAUAGAGACAAAAGACUGGCAGCUAAUGUGCAUAGAAUUUGUAGAAGAGAAUAAAGAUUUGAUCUAAGCUAUUCUUAAAGACCAGAAACUUUUAGAGCUACCCAAGAUCUCACAGGUUGAAUUUUGAUUCACCUAGUUUACAAUCCACUAAUUAUCCUUAUAUCAUUUUUGUUAUGUUACAAAUUGCCUUUACUUAUUAUGCAACUUGUCUUAAUAAUUUGGGAAGACCAAGAUAAGGUCUUCCUAGUAGAACUGGCUUACAAAUUGAAACGGUAAACUCAUAUCACCUAUCUACAUGCCCACAACAAUAUAAACACUAGCUCAUGUGUUCCUCACUAUUGAGAUUGUUGUUGCAUGCAGGCAUUUUGGGCGAGGAGGCUCGACUUGUGAUCAUCAAUAACACAAGGCAUGUUUUUAUACAGAGAAGCCCAAAGAAACUUUUAAGCAUUUUGUUAGCCCAAGGGUUCUCCUAAUCAGGUUUUGAUGAUAACAAACCAUGGUUAAGUGACUAAUUGGUUUGAAUGGUAAAGAAUCUUAGGUAUAAAUUUGGAAAUUCAUCAAAUGACCAAAUGGAUACAAGAUCGAGACUUUUGGAAGACUUUUGAUUAUAGGAAACAAAUGUAAGAUGAAUGCAUGGGUGCACUUAGGUUUUACAUAUCUUUUUAUGCAUCUUUGAAAACUCGGUUUAUUCCUUAAAAUUACGAUUUCAUUAAAACCCAGGUUUUAUCAAAUGUAUCUUAGGCAAAACGUUUCAAAAUUGGCAUAUCAAUUUACCUAAAGACCUUGCCUAAGUGUUAGAAAGGAAAAGAAUUGAAAAAUAUAGGUUUUCGGGGCUAAAAGACUGAACCGAUCGAGGCACAGUCAAUCGGCUCAACCAACCAGGGAACCGAACGAUCGGUUGCUCUUGUCCGACCGAGAUCUGGUCGAGGAGUGUCAAAAACACACUCUCUCAUCCAGUAGCCUUCUCUUCCCAGUCGAGGUACUCUCCUUCCCGAUCGACCUCUAGUCGAGGUUCAGUCGAGGCAACGGUAACCUACCAAAGCAUUAAAUGCUCCAACGGCUAGUGAACCAAUCGACCCCCAGCUCGACCGGUUAAGGCUGUUUUUUGCUUUUUUUGGCUCCCAAGCUUAGAAACCUAUAAAUUGAGAGCUCCACUUCAUUUAUGACAUAAAGAACACUUGCAAUCAAUUUUCUACCCACUUGUUCUUGCCUUAAAAGCUCUCAUUUAUUUCUUAGUGCAUUAAAUCCUCACUUGCAUAUCCUUUAGUGCACCCUUGUGAAUCAUCCUAGCUUUGAUUUGUAUUUGAGCUAUCAUUGAGCUAGAUUGAGGGCUUCAUUCUUGUAAAAAUUGAGUGUUAAAGCCUUCAAGAGGUUUGAAUCUUGAAGAGAUUAUGUAAGAGCCCAUUGGAGCCAGAAUCCAAGUUUAAAGGAGAUUGGAAGCUUUGUUGAAGCUUCAAGUUAGUGGAACCCUCACUCGGUUAGGAGAUUGAGGAGAGUGGACGUAGGCAAGGAAAUGUCGAACCACUAUAAAAUCCGAGUGUAAAUUUUCUAACUCUAUCUCUUUAUUUUUUAUUAUAUUGUGAUUGAAUUUGUUGUGUUGAAAAAGUUUUUGAAAAACCCAAUUCACCCCCCUAUUAGGUGUUUUUCUCAUUAAUUUGCUUCCACCUCAUAAGCAACCCUCAGAACCACUUACACCAUGACAAGGUGAAAAGAAACUAAUGCAACAUUCUCAAUAUAUCAGAAGAUAUCAAAGGAAGGUUGGCCACAUAUGAGGACCCUGUUUCUAAGGUAGAAUUUUAGAUUUUUGUGUUUUUCUUGUCACUGUUUCUAUACCAUUACUAGUGCACCUUAUUUUUCAAGGUGAUUAAAAGGGAAUUCCCUAGGAUAACUAAUGUCUCAGAUAAUCUUGAGGUUCACAAAUUUUUGGUUUCAACAAAAUAGACGUCAAACCAUUUUUAUUUUUUUCUACACCCAUGCAAUAUUCCAUUCAUUUAUUAAUAAGGACUAAAAUUUCUUGUAGAGAAUGGAAUAAAGAACUAGAUUAAAUGAAAUAAGACAUUAUUAGUCUAUUUACAAGUAAGGGCAAAAAAUUCUUAAGGGUCAUUAAGCACACUGUUCCUAAAAUAAUAACAUCCAUGUCAUUGAAGUUUAUUGCAAUUACAUUAGCAUAUAAAACAAAACUAUUUUUUUUUUCUUUAUGUUCACACCUUAUCCAUUUGAUAAAAUGCUUAAACAAGUAAGUUUGAAUUUUUUUUUUUUUUUUUUUUGUUUUCAAAUCAAUUUAAAUUUUACAUUCAAAAGUUGAAUUAUUAUUAUUUUUUUUGGAAAAUUUAACCGCACUUUAGAAGUUUGUGAUUAUUCUUUGGUCCAUCUUAAAAUGAGUUCCUGCAUUCUUCCAUUCCUCAAAUUAAAAUCACAAUAAAAAGUUUUAGAUUGACCUAAAAUUUUCUCAUGGCUUAGAAAUUCAUAUCUACUAGAUGGCUAAAGCAAAAAACACUUUUGCCUUGUAUUUUAAGUAAUCCUUGCCUGCUAUUUGUUUAUUGAGAGCAUCAUACAAGUUGUGAUUAUAUUUCUUAAUUUUUUUAUAUGAUAAGACAGUAAUUGGAUUGAGAAAGAUGCAACUUGUGGAGCAGAAAAUUUCUUAACUACUUCCCUUGUAUUUGCUUUGUGUGUAUCAACUGUUCUAUUAAUUAUUUUUUAAAAAUAUCACUAAAACAAACCUAUUAUGUCAGUGCUCUCUAUUGUUAUGUAUCAUAAUUUAGCUAUUUUUUCCCUAGAAAUCAUGCUUGUUAUUGUGUUAAUCAGUAGGUAGCAUAAGAACUAUUUUGUUCAAGUUAUUUUGUAUUGGCAUUCUUCAUGUUUCAAAAUAUUGUCAGACUAGCAAUUUUACUGCAGAUAUAAUGUUCUCAAAUCAAUGCAAAAAUGGACGAUUGUGGGUCUUGGGCACAACCUUCCUUGAAGAGUUGAAUUGAGGGUUUCUAUAAACUAGGUCUCUAUAUCAAUAGAUUCUACAUUUCAUCACUAUGGAGACCUUACAAUAAAUAUCGCAAAAAGCUUCAUUUACUACAUAGUAAGGAUAAUCCUAAGGACUUAAAAGUUUGAGUUGUCUCUUCCAUGGCAGCUUCAGAUCUCUUAAUGAGCUCCCAGUCAUUGCCUACCUUGAAUAUAAAUCACUGCUAGAAGUAUGUGCCCUCAACAUUCCCAUGUUCCCGAUAUUGACUAGAUAUUUGUUGCUAAUUCAUGAAGAAUUGAAGGGAUCUUUGAUAAUGACAUCUAUAAUGUACUUCAAGUUCAUGAUCCAAACUCUCUUCUUGCUUUCAAUAACUUCAUUUUUUUUUAUAUUACUUUAUGGUCAAUGUUAUAAGAAUGUUGUAUUUUGUUUACCUGAUUCUCAUCCAUCAGCACACAGGAAAGGAAAAGUUUUACAUUGCUUUCCUUCCCUUUGCUCUGUGUUUAUAUAUGUUUAUGCAGCUAAUGUGAACUUCCACCAUAACUUUUUAAGUUUUUUUCAUUCUCGAGUUUGGGAAACAACUAGAUUUGAUUGUAAUAUUUUCUUGUAGAUAUCACCUUUCUUAAAAAGCUUGCAUUUAUUCACAUUUUCAAGAUGACUAAGUCAUCUGAUUAUGCUUAGAACUAUUGGUUUCUAUUAAAUUCAGGUAUGAUGUUUGCAAUUUUAAGCCUCUUACUCCUCUUGAAGACUACAUAAGUUUCUAGUGCUUUUACUUUAAUGGUUAUGGUCAAUGUAUCCUCUUGUUACUUCCUGUUUGCAUUCUAUAUGUUCAAGAGCUUUAUUAAAGUAAUUAUUUUAUUGAAGAUAUAAUUGUUUUCAAGUCAAAGAAAAAUUGAAUAAUGACGUGGUUUCAACAACUUCUCAAAAGUAAUUGGAAAGUAAGGAACUUUGUGGUAGUAUUCUGAUAUCACAUUGGGCUUUCAAAUCGUUGUCUUGAAUUGACAUAAAUAACAUAAUUUCUUUUCUAGUUGAGCUACUUCAACAUGUUAUUAUGCUUCAUACUCUUUCAAUUAUGUUUUGUUUAGGUUUGGAAACAUUAGUACAUUAGAUAUGUUGCCUCGAGUUACUUACACGACAUAAAAUUCAUCUUUGUUGUUAACUGGCAUCACUACCACAAGAUGAGUUCCCUCAGCAUUCUACAGACAACUAUAAUUUGGGACAAUUCUGGUUUGGCAACAUUAUCGGAGUUGAUAGACAACCUAUCUUCAUUAACAAAAACCUUUAAAUUUAUAUUUAUCCCGAACUAGCAUCACUGUUGGAAGACGUGCAUCCUUAACACCCUAUAACCACUCAUAAUUGGAGACUGUUAUGGUUUGUAAACAUUCAACAAACUUGAUAGGUAACCUUGCACCACUUACAGAGCUUCAAAUUCAUGGCUAUCUUGAAUUGACAUCACUUUCAAACUAGAUGGUUCAUCCAAACCUCAAUUAACACCCACAAUUCAGGACUUCUCCAUUUUGGCAAUGAUAGCAUAUUUGAUAAGCAUCCCUACUUCACUUACAUACACUAAAAUUGAUAGCUACCUUAGAUUCACAUCAUUAUCACAAGAGAUUGGUUCCUUCAUAUCCCUGCAGACACUUGUGAUCUUUUAUCGUCCAUGUAUAUUAGAAAGACUUAAAAGGGAAAUAAGUGAAGAUUGGCCCAAUAAUCUUCAGUCCUAGAUAUUCAUAUUUGGUGAAGAUUGGACUAAUAUAGAGUUAGUUUAGGUUUGAAAUCCCAAUCUUUCUUCUCAUUUUUUAUGGUUUUGUUUUUAUCAAUAUGCUCUGUUUACAUUCUAUAUGGUAAUUUUUGUAUGUAUUAGCAUAUAAAUAAAAAAGGACUUAGAUGAUUAAUUUGAAAAGUUUGCAUCCUCAAUUAAUUAGUAAUUAAAGACCAAACUGAUCAUAUUACUUUAAGUCUUGCAUUGUAAGAGUUUGGGAAAAUGUUAGGGUUGACUGAACUACUAUUUUAUAAUAGAUUUUGCCUUACUCAAGAAUCUUGUGAUUAUCCCUUGGCACAAUCAUUUCUCGUGUCUAAGAAAUUCAUAUCUACUACAUGACCAAAGAAUUUAGUAGCAUUCAAAAUUUCUGUUUUCUUUCAAGUCAGGUGUAUUGCUUGCAAUUCUAACAUGUUUCCUAUUUUGAACGUUGUAUUGUUAUUUUACUAUCAAUGUGUUAAGAGCAUUAUACUCUAUUUUCUAUAAUGUUGUUUACUUGUCAUAUGUAUUAAUUAUUUUAUUGCAAAUGUACUUGUUGCCAAGUUAAAGCAAAAUAGGAAAGUGAGGAUUUUUCAUGGACCAAUGCCUCUCUCAGUUGCUGCCACACUUUACUUCUCUCUAAGUUGUUGAAAAUUUAGAAGUGUGGUAGCAUAAAGUAUUCAACUCAAGUGCUUUAGUGCCUCACUACCCUUGAAGCUUUAGAAGUUGUCAAUACAAUUGGGGUUUCAACAUGUAACCAUUUUGGAAAUUCUAAGAAGUGUAAGUAUUAUGGUUUUGCAACUUUAUUCUACUAUAUAGGCAACUUCAAAUUGCUAAAUGCCCUGAAUUAAAAUCACUACUAGAAGGAACCCAUGAGACUAUAGAAACUCAUAAUCUACUACUCUUGCCACUUAUUAAGAAUGCUAAAAGGAAAAAGUGAAGAUUGGCCUGAGCAUGAUUGAUUAAUAAACCACACAUGGUCUCUUUAAUUCAAGUGUGUCAUAUGUUAUAUGUUUCAUGUCAGUAAUCCUACAUUUCUCUUGUUUCUAUUGGCUCUAUUUUUUUUGAAUUAUUUUACAAUCAAUCUUCUAACAAUGUUCUACUUUUUUUACAAUUUUUUAUUAUUCUAAAAUGAAUUAAGACAUAUAAAGAAAAAAAUCACCUUGUUUGAUUUUCAUAUACUAUAUGCUUAAAUGUACAUGUUUUUUUUUUUCAUAUGUAAUAAGAUACCAACAAAUUGAGUGAGGAGCACAUCUUACUAAGUCGCUUGUCAAUCUAUUCACCUUCCUAAUCUCAAGAUUCUUCAUGUUUGAAUUAAAAUACCAUGAAGUACAAAAACAAAAAAUGAUGAAAAGUAUUUCUCAUCAUCUUUAUUUUUAUUAGAAGGCAAUUUGUAGCAUCCUCUUUCCCAUUCCUAAAAAAUACUACAGCUUUGUAGGUUGAGAAAUUAGACAUGUUUUCUUAAAUGAUCUUCUUGGUCCAUGCAUGCUUAUAUUUGGAAGAUUUUUAAACCAAGUAUUUUAUGACAUAUAUGAUAGCUUUCAAGUUAAUGCAUAAAUGGUGAUGGUUAGGAUGCAAAAUAUAGUCUAUGCUCAACCUAUUUAUUGACAAACUACCAAGGGCUAAUGCUAAGGUAAACACCCAGCACUUGCAUCAUACUCGCUCUUCUCUGCCCUCUUUAUUUGUUUUCCAAAGUUCAUAUAUAAUGUCUUUAUCAUUCAAUUUUUCAUUUUCAACCACUUUUUAAACUUUUGUCUUUUUAUGGUUUAUUACACGACGAUCCAUUUCUAAGAAAUUGUUGUACUCUAUUUAUAAAUCUUAUCUUUUUGUUCUUAUAGACAAUAGAACAACGUGGUAAUUGCAUGACAUACAAUUUGUAAUAGAUGUUCAACUAUAUAUUAGGUAAUCUUUAAUUGCCUUGGAGUUGAAACGUUUGAUGUUGAUAAGGUUUGAUAAUUCUCGCUUUGGUGCUUUGUUGGAUUUCAAUUUAGGUAAUUAAUUGAUCUUGUUAUGAUUCUUUGAUUGUUAUUAUAACUAUUGUGAUAAUCAUUCUUAUUUUAUCGUGGUAAUUGACUUCACUGACUUUUUAACAAUUAUAUCAUGAGUGAAAUGCCCAACCUAUUAUUGUUAGUAUUCCAUUAACAUACCUCUAAUGCCACCACUAAUAAACAUCAUGUAUUAAUAUUUAUAACACGUUUCAUUACUGAAAUAAUUUAAUAUUUUCAAAUUUCUUUUUAGAGUGUGAGAAAUAACCAUUAAUCUUUACAACAGCAUAAGUAUCAUUGAUUUGAUAUUGCUUUCUUGAGUAAUUUGGCAAUUUAAUUAUGAAGUUUAGUUGGACAUUACUUGAGAUUCAUGUCUUAUGUAUAUGAUCUAUUUUCCAAGCUUCAAUUAUAUUUAGUAGACUUGUAAGUGGUGUUUGUCUUUGAGUUUCAACUCUUGAAAACUACUAUUGGAGCCUAAGUUCACUUUCAGUAAGGAAAAAAAAAAAAAAUCAACCUUUUCCUCAAUUGUGUAAUUUUAUUCACUAUUGACAUGCCCUUAAAUGGCAUUGCUAUUAUUUGUAGGGAACAUUGUCAAGUUCUAUAUUUGUCUAGAAAGUUAGAAGAAGUAUUUAAUUUGAUAUGGUUUGGACAUCUUGCUACUAUCUUUUUAAAUUAGUUAUCAAUAAUUUUUCAAAGUUGACCUUUUUGUUUAUCUCAUACUCCUUUUAUAUUAAAAGGUACCGCAUGGGUAUUGUGUAGAGGAAUCAUGCCUUCUUUAAUUGAGGUGAGCCUCUUGCAAAAUAUUUCAAGUUUGCUCUCAUUCCAUUUGUUACUUCAUGUCUAUUUUUUUGUAAUCAAUCAAGCAAGAGUUUCUUACUUGUACAAUGGUGAACUUGCUUGCAUGAAUAAUACUCUUUUUACUAUUUUUUUUCUUUCUUUAUUAUAUUCAUUGAUAUGCUUAGAAGUUAAUAGUGAAUCAGGUUUUUUGUUAAAAGAAAUCAAAUAUUGGUAAUUAUUUAGUAUGAUGUUUGUAAUAAUCAAUUAUUGAUUGUCAAGAUACUUGACUUAAUCAAUUAUUAUAUUGAAAUCAAUUUAGUACUAUGACUAAUACCAAAAGGAUAAUAUUUAGUCUUGUUUGACCAUUAGUCACUAUUCUAGAGACAAAUGCUCACAAGUUUUACAUCUUUGAAGCAUAUGAGAAAAGUUGGCUCAACUGUAUCACCAACUUACAAGCUCCUUAUAGUGUCCAUAUAUAUAACCUUCGUUGUUCAGGUUUAUGAUUCCUAUCUCAUUUUCUUUUUUCAUCUUUUUAUUGUUUAUAAUUUUUUAAUUGAUUUGUUUAUAAAUUUUUAAACUUUAUUAGCAAUACUAUUUUUUUUUUUUUUAUUCUCAUCUGCAAUAGAAUAAUAAGUUGAAUAAGAAGCAUAAACUACUUAAUUGGUAUAACCGUUUACUCAAUUCUCUUCUCAGAUAUUUUUGUUCAAGGUAAUCAAAGUAUCAUUCUUUUUAUUUUUAAAGGUACUUGAACUCAGUGAGGACCAUUCCCAAAACAAGCAAUAACUACAGUUGGAUUACUGAUAUCAUAUCCUUGAUUGACAUCUAUGCCAUUACAUUUGCAUCUAAAGGAUUUAUGAUGAAAAAAAUAUUUUCUUUAUUUCCAUUUUCCUUCCUUCUUUUGAUCAUAAUUUGUGUGCUUAUUGAUAGCAUUCAUACCCUAAUAUAUUUGCUAGCAUAUAUAUGCAUGUCACAAUCUAUUGAAUUUUUUAGCAUAAGGUCUUAGAGUAUUCACAUAUCUCUAGGUUCUAUAUAUUUAUAAUUUUUCAACAUCAAAUGAAGUAUAUGAACCUUAUCCUGAAGGUGAAGUCUCUUUAAAAGGAGUUUCAACAUGUUAGCAAUUACCUAACUUAAUAAUCUAACAAUUUGGCACUAUAUAUAAUUUUGCAACUCUUUCAUAAAGUAAUUGUGUUACCUUUAUUCACAUUUUCUAUCUUUAUUUAAAAAAAAAUGAAUUGGUAAUUGUGUGUCAAAUCUUGCUUACAAUCAUUAAUAGGUACUUAUAUGCUAAAUGGAUAAAGUUAUUUUACAAUUGUUUCAACAUAUUUGACACACAAGUACCUAUUAAUAAGUAUAUAUUUAUAGAUGUAAUCACUACCAAGCCAAUGCGAAAAGCUAUAACAAUGAGGAUUACAACGCUUCAAUUAUGUCUUGGAGAUUCAUAUUGAAAAGUUGUAAAUGGUGGGUGAAGUCUCUUUAAAAGGAGCUUCAACAUGUUAGCAGUUACCAAACUUAAGAAUAUAACAACUUGGCACAAUAUAUCAUUUUGCAACUUUUCAUAAAGUAAUUGUGUAACCUCUAUUCACAUGCUCUAUUUUUUAUUUUUUUUUAAAAAAAUUUGAAUUGGUAAUUGUGUGUUGAAUCAUUCUUACAAUAUUUAAUAGGUACUUAUACACUAAAUUGAUAAAGUUAUUUUACAAUUGUUUCAACAUGUUCUGAAAACAAAAAAGAUUUAUAAGUAUAUUUUUUUCUAGAUGUAAUCACUAGCAAGCCAAUGUGAAAAGCUAUAACAAUGAGGAUUACAAAACUUCAAUUAUGUUUUGGAGAUUCAUAUUGAAAGUUGUAGAUUAUGGAUGUAUAGUACAGGAGUUAGAUUGAGUUUAUCAUUCUAUCUUUGACAUCUUAGUUUUCUAUGUAUUGUCCAUCAUAUAUAUUUGUCAUCUAUUCUUUACAACCAAUUUUUUAAGGACUUCUAUGAUUUGUUUAAAUUUAUAUAUUUGUUUUUAUUUGUACUAGAACUUCACCAAGCUACAAAAGCAUCACAAGUUUUGCAAUUGGAGUUCAUGGAUCAGGUAUUUUAGUAGUUUUUGUACCUGAAAUUUUUUUAUGAUACUAAUGAGGAUGUUUACCUUGAUUAAUUUAACACUUAUAUUGCAAAUAUCUAUAUAGGAGUUCUAUACAUUUAUUUAAACAUUUAUAGACAUAUUUAUCCUCUUUCUAGCACAUUCUAAUGAUAUUUUUAACAUUGAUAUAAAUUGUUUGCUUGAAGGUUUCAACUAUUGAAAAAUUAUUAUUCAAGCCAAAUGUUAAUCUUUUUCUAUAGUGGAUUUCAAAUAAUAAAUUCUUAUUUGAUUAUUUGUAGGGAAAAUAAACAACUUCUAUGUUUGAUAAGAAAGAAGAUAGAGUAGAUCAAUUUCACAAUAUACGAAUGCUACGCUUUCUAUACUUUUAAAGAUGCUUACAAUUGGCUUUCUAUACUUAACAAGUACAUCUUAGCUAAAAGUGAAAAAAUGUUUCUCUUUGCACAUGCCUUCACUACUAUUUUAAUUGCUAUCUUAAUAUGUUAUGGAAAAACCACGACAAAUAACAAUAAUAAGGAGAAGAAAUAAAAGAACAAAAAUAUAAAACUUAUAAAGUAGGACGAUCUAUGUGGUUUGGCCUAAACCUACAUUUAUAUGUGAAAAUGAAGAAGAACUUCCACUAUUAUUAAAGGAGAUUAAAUUCCUAAAGCUUUCAAAUCUCAUGAUUACACUAAAAAUGGACUUUUUUUUUUCAAUCAAAAUCUCUUCCUUUAUUUUCUUGAUUAUAUAAGAAUAUUCCAUAGAGAAUUAAUUGUGUAAUUAUCAAAGAUAACUAUUCCUAAAAGAAAAAUCUUAUAAUAUGAUAUUUCCUUUAGAAUAAAAGAAAAAUCUCUUAUAUAAAUAUAUCAUAAUAGGAAAAUAUUAAAGACUUAUAAAUUGACUCAAAACAAUUUGAAAUAUUUUUCAACAAUCUCCACAUUGGCUCAAAUUCUCAAUAUUCAAAUAAACUCAAAAGUCUUCUAUGUUACUUUGCUCUUAUACACCCUUGAGGGGACUUCAAGUAAUGUCAAUACCAAUUAAGUCUAAGCAAUGCAUGAACUUAAUCAUAGAAAUAAGUUUAGCCAUCAUAUCUAUAACUUUAUCAACUAUAAUAAAGUGCUUUCUAACAUCAAUAUGUUUGGUGCUCUCAUGUAAUAUAUGAUUUUUAGUCAAAAGUAUGAGACUUGGCUACCAUGAUAACAAUAAUCAAUGAUUGGAAUCAAAUAAGUACAUUUUGUGUGCCUAAACUUAGGCAUUCAUAUUUAAUAUCCAAUUCUAGUUUCAUCCCUUUACUCAUUUUAUUCCUAAGUCCUUAAUUUUGGGUUUAAUGUAUUUUUUAAAUAUUUUCCUUCUUUUUUGGUAUAUUUAUAUCACAUUUUUGCUAGCCAUUAUAUUUUUCAUGUAUUGGUUGCUAAUUUUACACUCCAUAGUUGUCACAUCAUCCAACUAAUGGUUGUUACAUUAUCCAACUAUGGGCUACCACAUGCUCCAGCUACCUUAGCCUCCUUGCCAAGUAUUUUCCAUGCCAAAAAAAGAUUGACAACUAUUUCAAUUGGUUGGUAAAGUUGAGAAAAGCUUCCACCAACCUCGCCAUUAAGUUGUGCUCCUUGCUCCAAUUUCUAAUUUUGCUUCCUACCCUCUUGUGGAGUUAGUGUGGAAAUGACUUUAUACAAGGGAGAUGAAGGUUGGUUUUGUAAGGUAGUUUAUUUGUAAACUUGUAUUUCCUUUAUUCAGACGAUAGUUCUCAUUUCUUAGCCUUGAUUUUCAAUUUUGAUCCUCUUGUCUUGCCACUAUGAGUGGCCAACAUCCAAACCAAGGAAUAAUUUUUAAUAAAAUAUUAAUAUUAAUAUUCAAAUAAAAUCAUAUAUUUAUAUUCCUUAGCACAUUUAUAGGAAGAGAAAUAUUUGGGCACUAGGCCCAAUUCACUUUUUAUCAUAAAAAUAUGAAUAUUAAUAUCCUUAUCCUCAUAAAAGCAUAAUUAGCUUAUUUUCUAAAAAAUUGAUAAUAAUAAUAAUAAUAAUAAUAAUAAUAAUUACUAGUACGAUUUUAUUUUAAAUGGAUUUAAAAAUAAAUAAAGUUUAAUUUUUAAGGUAUACGUGCAUAAGUUUUUCAUUACAUAUACACAUUUAAUACUUAAUUAGUAAUAAUGUAUUCUAAAAUUUUUUUAUCUAGCCUAUAACUAAUUAAUCACUUUUUUGGAAUUCUAAAUUGUUCUUAAAAAUUAAAAUAUUCAUUAAAGAAUUGAAAGUGUUUAUUAUGUUUAACUUAAUUUAAAUUUAUUUAUCUAGUGAGAAAAUUCAUAAAAUAUAGUUUUAUGUAUAAAGGAAAUAGUAACGACUUUACAUUUAAUGAAUCUUUUAUUUUAUUUUGAUUCAUUUAAUAGUCUAUUAUCUUGUAGUGAUUAUAUAUAUAUAUAUAUAUAUUUAAAAUUUAUUAAACUCAUUAAUAAAUUCAAUACAAAGUUUUACUUAAUUUGAAACUCAUCUCUCUAGUGAAAAAAUUGAAAAAAUAUUAUUUUGUGAAAAAAAAUACAAUAAAAUCAUUUUAAACUAAUUUUUAUCCAUAGAUUUUUGUAUUUAUUAGUUUAUUAUUUAAUUUUUAAAUUAAUUUAAAAAAUUAUUAGACUUAUUAAUGAAUCCAAUACAUUAUUUUUUUUGUUUAAUUUAUUUAUCACACUAUCAAACAAACUUUUAUUAUUUAGUAAAAGACCUCUUAAAAGAUGUUUUUUUUUCUAAAUAAAAAUAAAAAUAAUAUUCUAAACGAUGUUUGAUUUGAGAGUUUUUUAAAAAUAAAAAUAAAAAUUAUUUUAAAUUAUGUGUACAUAAUUGUUGCAAAUUUAUUUCUUUUUCCAUUAUCAUUUUCAUUCUUACCUAACAUUGAAAUGGAAACAAAUAAUCAAUCAAACCUUACAUUUAUUCUUGAUGCCCUCUGUGAAAAAAAAAAGUGCAAAACAUUUAUUUUUUCUAAUCAUCAACCAUCCAUACAUAGAAAAACUACGUGUGAUCUUAAGCCAAAAAAGAUAUUGCAUCUAAUCAAAUUCAAUAGACAUGAUGAUAUCUAUACUAUUUUUUUUUUAAUUAUAUUCAUAUUUAUGUCAGAAAAUAAUUUUUUUAUUUUUAGAACAUUAAACUUUUUAAAAGUCCUUUCUAGGAUAUUUUCUAGCUUUUUCCUUUUGCUAAUUUUUGCUAUUCAAACAAAUCUUAAGAAAUGAAUCAAACCUGGACACAAUUGAAGAGUUUGGCAUCCUUGUUUUUAUAUUCCAAAGCAUAUAUAGAGAUUGGGGUAAAACAACUUGUACCUAAGAAAAAAAAAGGAAAAAAAACCACAACAAAAAAUUAACCAAAAAUCAGAAAAUUAACUAGAAUAAAAAAUCAAGAAAAUAUUUUUCUGGGUUAAUAAUUAAUUAUAAUGAAAUCAAAAUCAAAAGAAAAAAUACAUACUUCCUCCUGGCUUUGCUUACACUGAAAGCCAUGAAAGAAUUGGGAAAGUAGUAAAGAAUAAGAACAAGAACCACAUCCAUAUUCUGGGGAAAGCAAAUCCUCUGCUUUGCUGCCUUCUUCAGAUUGAAGGCAACUAUUAAACGGGUUGAGGGGUUAUGAGUUUGACUUGGUUGAGUUUGAAGCUACAAAAGUAAGAAGAAUGGUAGUAAUUUUGGAAGCAUUUCUAACUCUUCUAUAACUUGAAAGAUAAAAAAUUUUAAGUGUUAAAAAUGUUAAAAGAGCUUUUUAGAAUCACCCCCAAAUGUACUCUAAAUUAUUUAUGACUUGAUGUCACCUUCACACUCAUUUUCCAGUGUCAUUUAAUUUUGUUGUUCCCAUAUUGAAGAUUUAGGGUAAUGUAAUGUUCAAGCCUUCACAUUUUGCCUUCACAUUUUGCCUUCACUAACCUUUGAAUUUUAAUUAAAUUCUUUGAAGGAUAUUUGACCACUUCAUUGUCCAAAAAUGCUUAUAUUGCCAUUUUUUUUGUCUUUUUCUACAAUUCCAAUUUUACUAUUUUUCUUUUAUUUAUUCCUAUUAUUAUUUAGGCUAUUAUUUAUAAUAUUCUAAAUAUUAUAUUUAUAAUUGUUAAUAGUAUAAUUACUAUUUUUCAUUUAUUUGUCAUUUAUAUUGCUUAUCUUAUCUUUAUUCAUGUAUAAGACUCAAAAACUGCAAAAAGCAUUAAUAAGUAACAACUAAACUUCAAAGUGAUAAUAAAAUUCAACUACAUUGAUAUUACAAUAAUACAAAUGAAAUAUAUAGCAACCAGCCCUUAAAGGGGCUUUUAAGAGAUAAUGAGUCUACUUGAGAUUGAAAUUUAAAGUAGAAUCACCAUCUCUAUAGAUAAAUAUAAAGCCUAAAAAGAAUAGAACAUCACUAAAUAAUAUUAAUAAAGCAACAACUAGAUCAAUGGAUAGUGAAAAUAAAGGUUUACAAAAUGAGUCACAUAAGUAAGAACAACUAAAUUAAGAAAUGAAUUACAUGUCUGACAGAUCUAAUGAGGGAAAACAUUGGAUCUAGGUACCCAUGAUUGGCUCCUUGAAGUUGACCUACCUCCUCAAGAGGUACAUAGGAGUCCUUACUUGAAAAAUAUUAAAAUCUAUAGGGUGAACAUAAGAUCUAAUAAAUAGGCACGAUAUGCAAAUGUUAGGAUGGUUAGUCCAAGGUAAAAAAAUAGUUCUAAAACAUAUCACGUAAUAAUUUUGGUGUAUUAUGAGAGGAAAAUUGAUUUGUGAGAACUAUACUUUAUGAAUAGAAAUGUGAGGAAGAGUGAAAAACACUUAGUAGAGUAAGAGGGCUAACAGUUCAGGGUAGUCAUACAAGUAGUCAUACAAAGUGUGGGGAAAUAGAUGUAUCUAUUUUUGUCCCUUACAAUAUUUUUUAUUGUAUAGUGAAAUAUUAUCUUUCAAAUAUGGAAAUAAGCAUGGUUAGGUGUACCAUGUUAAAAUCUUAAGUAUUUGUUUUAUUUUGUGUUCUUCCAUUAAUAUAUUUCAAUAUUAGAGCUUCCAUUGACUCAACAAUUUAUUAUACUAUGAAUCGUCAUAAGUGAAUAUAUUUUUAUAUUAGAAUAAACCAUUUUCUUAAUUAUAAGUAUAUUUGAAUAUUUUACUAAACUAUUUUAAAAUAAAAAUAUAGUAAAAAAAAUUUAAUAUAUAUAAUAAUAACAUGAUAAAUAACAUAUCCCAAACCAAAUGCAACAUAAAUUUCUAAAUUGUCUCUUCUUCUUAGUUCUCUAUAAUAAUAUUGUCAUACCCAUUGUUUAAGCUAUAAAUUAACAUUUUAUGUUCUUUGAAACAUAUGUAUUACCAACUCAAUAUAAAUAGCUACGAAGACAUAUUUCUCAUUUUCCCAAUCAAAAAGCAUUGUGAGUUGAAACCUUUUUGUUUAGAAAGUUAACUUGCAAUGUUAAUAUUCUUUUUUUAUAUUAGCCCCCUAGGAAUGCCAUUGCCUUUCACCACACUUUUAGUUUUUUUUUGUUUUUUCAAUAUUCUUUUUUACUUCUACACUAGAAUUUAUGUAACUUCUUGUUUUUUAUUAUUAUUAUUAUUUUGCAAUAUUUUCUCUUAAGUCUACCUUACACUUCUUAUUACCUCUCAUAUAUAUAUAUAUUUGUCUUUUUCAAGUACUUGGUUGCUUCUCUAUUACAAUUCAUUAACUUCCUAUCCUUUUAUUUAUUUUUAUUUUUUGCAAAAUUCUUUCUUAAAAUACAUAAAUCCAUAGUUUUUAUUUUAAAAGUAUCAAGUAAAGAACAUAUACCUACUCAAACACCAUUGUAUAAUACCCCUAAAAUUUCCAAAAAUCCUUAAAAUUUCAUAAAUUCUCUGCAAACUUAUCCCUAAUUAGAUGCUAUUACAUUAAAUAUAUCUAAUUCACUCUAAACACAUGAUUGAUAAUAAUACAAAAAACUAAAACAAUAUUAAUAUGCAAUUUAUUAUUUUUCAACACACUGUAAUAGUUCCCAAAUAUUUUCAAACAUCAACUAACAAACCUAAAUUUAUUCACUCAAAAUACAUAAUUGAUAACAAUGGAGAACUAAAAAAAAAAUUAUAAAUAUAACAAUUUUAUACUUUGAAUACAAUUCAAUAAAUCCUAAAUUUUUAAAAACAUUUAACUAAUAAACUUAACCAUACUCAAAUAUUAUUGUAUAACAUCUAUAAAAAUUUCAAUAAUUUAUCAAAUGUGAAGACUACACUCACCGGUUUAGUAGAAUCACUUGCCUCUUCUAUUGGUAAUUGGGAUUUUUGUUCAGUAGCUUCGCUUUCCUUUGCUUCACUUUCUUUUGCUUCACUUUUUUCUUCUGUUCGCAAUUGGCAUUUUUGUUUUUUCGUCACUUUUUUUAAUCUUUUUAUAAAAUCACUCUUCAAUGAACUCAUUGUUUCCUUCGUGCUUGAAGAUACAAUAUGAGAUAACUUGAAAAAAACAGAAUAACAAUUUUUCUAAGGAUUCAGAAUGAAACAAAGGAUGAAAUGAUAGACGAGAAAUUUUCUAGGGUUCUUGAAGGAAAGAUGAGAUUUUCAUUUUGUGCAUUAAAGGAAGAUAAUGAAAUAGAAGAAGACGAUGAAAGAUGAAGACUCGUUCUAUAAAUGAAGCGAAAGAGGAUUAGAGUUUUCCUUUUUGUGCACCAAAGGAAGAUAAUGAAGUAGAAGAAAAUGAUGAGAAAUUUUUUUUGGAAAAUAUGAGGAGUCAUUCUGUAAAUGAAGCCGAAGAUGAGAAGGUGUAAGUGUUGGAGAGAAAAAAGAAGAAGGGCAUUUUUGUCUCAAUCAACAAUUUUGUUUUAUUUUUUAACCGGUGGGUUAUAUUUACAAAUAUGAGGGUUAUUUUGACCCCUUUAACCAAAUAGCCUUAUUUUUUUAUCGAGUUACAACUUUAAAUUAGGUGUAAAAAGAAAUUUUGAUAUGGUAGAUAUUGUACAGUUAUAUAUUGAAAUUCCAUGGUUCAUUAGAUAAACCAUCCUUGAAUUUCUUCGGUUUCAAUCAAGAUGAUAGAUCAUCCUUCCACAGAGUGUGACCUGAUAUGACAUUGAUUUUCUAGGGCUUCAAACACGAAGGGUGUCAAUGACUAAGAACUCCAUUUGAUUACCGAGAAAAUGAGGAAAAAACCCCUCAAAUAAAAUAUAAAUACAAUUCAGAAUUUCAAUUUUACUUUGUUAGGGACCCCAAAAAUGGGAAUAUUCACUUAACUAGCCUAAUCCAACCACCUACCUUAGUUCAAUUCAGUCCCCACUUUCUAGAGACCAAAACAAUAUAAACAUUCAUGUGUUUGGCUGCUCAGAAAGCAUAGGAUAAGCAAAGAAAAGGACGGUGCCUCCUCGAUCAAAUAGUCUUUUUUUUUUUUUCUUUUCUUGCAUUUUCUUUUUUCAGCAACCAAAUAGAACUUUUUAAUUGAGCAUUGUUGUAUACAAUUUAGAUUUCUUUCCCUCGGUUUCUCCGCAACCAAAUAGAAUUUUUCUCAAUUGAGCGAGGGUCUAGUAUAUCCUUUGUUUUCCUGUAACCAAACAGAACUUCCCUUGUUAUUUUUUUUAUCUUUUCUUUGAAUUUCUCAGAAACCCAACGGAGUUUACUUCUGGUGCAACCGUGCAAGAAAAUGGUUUUACCUGAUCGCAAUUCACUGGACUAGCCGAAGCAACAGAGGCUUAAGAAAAAAAGACUGAGCUUUGUUUGUUAGACCCCCUCUGUGAGUACGCAAAGUAAGAAGAAUUGAAGCUGAAAUUAGGCGGCUUCCAAACACGUCCUAGGAGUUGGUUUUAAAACCCAUUUUUCCCCUUUUUGGUUGCAAUCGGUCUGCAAAGAUGCCAUUAAAAGGUAACUACAGUUGGUUGCAUGAACAAGAAAAUGAAAAAAAAAAGUUAAAAUUAAUUAAAAUUCUAUGUAUUUUAAAAUUAUUUAAUAUUUACAUUGAAGAGUAAAAAUAAUUGCAAUAUAUUUAAAUAAACACAUAAAAAUAAUAAUUUAUUAAUUUUAAAUCUAUUUUUAAAAUUUUCAAAUUUUCAUUUAUUUUAUUCCCUCUAAGCUUUCUAACUAAGGUCAUAAUUUGGACAAAUUGUUGGGUUCAUAGUAGAUCUAAAUAAUCUAAUAGGGAUAAAUAAUUGAUUAAUUUAAGUUCAACCCAACCUCUAAGCUUUCUAACUAGGGUCAUAACUUGAACAAAUUGGAUGGUUAACAUACAACUUGGACAAAUUGGUGAGUUCAUAGCUAAUCUGAAAAAUUUAAUAGGGAUUAACAAAUAAUUAAUUUAAGUUUAGCCCAACCUCUAAAUAGAGGUAUUUAAUUCAAGCUCAACCAACUUCAUUUCUUUGAGCUCUGGUUGAUGAGGUUAAACUUGGGUUAACCCCUGAUUGUAUAAUUCAAAAUACAUAUAGAAUGUUUUUCAAUAAAAAAAAAUUAUGUACUUAUAUCAAAUUUUAAAUAGUAAGUAGGACAAAAUUUUAAAAUAACAAAAAAGAAAAAAAAACAAAAAUAAAAACAAAGUUAUGUAUCUUUUUUAAAAAGUGAAAAAAUAUAUUAUAUAAUAUAAUUUGAUUUUUUUUUAAUAAAAAUUUAGAAAGAAUAAAAUUAUUAUAUAAAAUAACAUAUAUUGGAAAUAUUAUAAAAACAUUAAAAGUUUAUUAAGUAGUUAUUCAAAUAAGUGUUUCUAUCCCUAAUUUAAACUUUGGUUUCAAUCUAACUCGAAUUGAAUUUGAGUUGAAAAAGUUUAAUUUGAAUAUUAAAAAUAAUUGUCUAAACACGAUCAAAUAUCGGAUUGGAUUCGACUAAUCUGCCAAAGUUGCACUCCUACCAAGAACCAUACACAAUAAAAAAAAUUUAAGCUAUUUUUUGUUCUAGGAAAGUACUCAAAAAGGAGAAAUAAAGAAAAAAAAAAUGAUUUUAUAUGUAUAAUUAAAAUUAGUUAAAUUUUAUAUAUUUUAAAAUUAUUUAAUUUUUUUAUAUGGAAAAGAAAAAAAAAGAGUGAAAUAAGUUUGAAAAAACAAGUAAAAAUGAUUUGUUAACUUUAAUAUUUUUUUCUUUUCUUUUCUUUAGUUUAUUUUUCUCAAAAUUUUCAAAAAAUAAACAUAGAAUUAAAAAUAAUAAUAAUAAUUAUAGAUUAGGAAAAUCAAUUUUAGAACUUGCUUAUAUGAUUGCAUUAUUUUUUGUAAAUAAUAAUUUUAUUGAAUGUUAAGAGAGUGGUAUUAAAUGCACAUUAUUUAAUAUUUUUAUAUGGAUAUUUUUAUUUCUAAAGAAAGUAAUCUUUACAUGGAUUGGACCACUGUUUAUUUAUCCAUGUGGGCCAGCCUAUUAAAAACCAUCAAACCAACAACCCAAGGGGCGACCCUGAUCAUUCUCGGGGGCCCACAACCUUCAUCUCUAACAAAAGCUCUUACUCACUGAAACAUGGGCAGGAUCACCUUCCACACACAUCUUCAUACCAGUCACCACGCUACCGCAACAAUCCUCCUCCAUGAAAGCCCACCUCCAUCACAGCAAGCAGAAAAUCCAUCACGUCAACCAUCAACCUCCACACAGACCUAACACUGCAUAGCCGUGUUUUGGGAGUGUUAGAACGUGAUUAAAGAUGAUUUAAUUUGAGUGUUCAUGGAGUUUCGCUAUAAGAGGGUGAUAGACCAGAGUAUCAAUGCUCCCUUUGUAACUUUAGGGCCAAAGAGGAGUCAGUUUACCAAAAAUUCUUCAUGAAACCAUCCAUUUAUCUCAGGGAACAUUUAUUAAGUAGAGUCAAAUAGAUUUACAGAUAAGAGACGAUUUAUUCCUUUGAAUGAAAUAACCUUAUUUCAAAUUGCCCUAAUGUGGCCUAAUAAGCAAAAUUACUGGUUAUAUUUUGGACACAUCUCAGUAGAGGUUUGGGGGAGAAAAUAGAAGAAGCAGAGAUGCUUACUUACUUCAGAGGGGCCACUGCUCGCCACCACCACUUCAUGGCUGUGCCCAUUUCACUUGCCCAAGUCACUCUCUUCUCCAAACCCUCCAUUUUACUCCACAGAAAUGCCAUCAUUGGCUUCUCCUUUUCCAUUCCUUUCUCCUCUUCUUCUGCUCACAAGAUUCAGACUCACAAGUGGAGGCAACCGGUGGUCUCGCUUCUGGAGCUUGGUGGAGUCAAGAUUGGCAGAGAUGGUAACAUACCCACAUCCCAAAAUUGCGUUUAAAAAGGAUCUUUAGCUUGAAUUUCGUGUGCCCAAUUUGCGUUUUUGCAGACAUUUGCACUCAAGUCGUGUCGUUUGUUUGCAAUUUCACAAUCUGAUUUCUUUUCUAUUGUGCGUUUUUUUUCUCCUGCUAGGUUCGAAUUCAAGCAUCCAAUUUGCGUUUUUGUGGGUAGUCUUAUGCCCAACUUGUGUAUUCAAUUUGCAAUUGUUGUUAUCAGACUUCCUUCUCUCUUUUGAGACUUACACAGUUAGAGACGUCAUUUCUGUGAAAUUAAGAAUGCAUGUUCCAACUUUCACUUCUUUCUCUCUCUCCCUCUUUUUUUUUUUUUUUUUUUGUGAAAUUGGAAUUCAAGAACUUAUUUUGCGUUUUACAAGCUUAGCGGGUUACGUUUCUGUUCUAUUUGUUGUGCUGUUGGAGGUGUUUGGUGCAUUUAUAUAACUAGGCUUGCAAUUUCGCCCUCUGAUAAAGGUUAAAUUUUCUCCCUUUUUAUUUUUUAUUUUUUUAAUGGUGUAUUUGUUUUGGGUAUUUGGUGAAAUGAGGAUUCUGUACUGGGUUUAUGGCAUUUUUUCAAUUGGUUUGAUAUAUGUGAAUGUGGGUUUUGUAGGGAAGAUAUGCAAAUUUUUUGAAAGAAGCAUGCAAUUACAACUCUGAUUUCCUUUAUAUUUAUAUUUUUUUAUGCUUAUUUGCAUAUUGGUUGAUGUCAAAAUUCAUCUAAUGGGUUGUUUUUUAUUGCUUUGGAUUGGUUUAAUGUAGUUGAAUGGUGGAUUUUGUUUCUAAAACUUAGGGUCAAUUUCAAUUUUUUUUUCUUUUUUUCAAUUUGAAGACCUGGGAGUCUAUGUGAUUGGAAUUGAUGUACUCGAGUUUUUGGAUUUUGCUGAUUGCUUGAUAAACUUGGGAUGCAGAGCCUUAAAAAAUAAACUAUAUUCACUAAACUAUAUCUCUGAUUAUACUUCGUCAAAGCGUGAAAUGCAACUUGGAGUCUUUGUAUUUUUAAAAUUUUUUGGGUUAUUCUAUUCUGAAUAUUUGGUAAAAUUAGAACUCAUGUACUGAACCUUUUUCAAGUUCUUUUGGUUGGCUUGAUAUAUUUGGUUGUGGGGUUUGUAGAUGUGGUGAGGGAUGAUCCUACAAACAAUGUCCCGGAUGCAAUUUUUUUGAAACUUGGAAUGCAGCUUCACAGGAGGGAUCAACACCCAAUUGGAAUUCUGAAGAAUGCAAUAUAUGAUUAUUUCAAUGCCAAUUACUCUAACAAAUUUGAUAAGUUGGAUGACCUUUGCCCAAUAGUCUCCACAAAAGAGGUUUGACAUUAAGAUAUAAAAUAAAAAUUGUAUGCAUGUUUUUUUUUUUUCACUGUUUUGAGCUAUACAUUGCACUAUUUGGAACUUGUAUUAUCUUGCUAUGACUGGUGCCUGACAUUUUGUUGCGGUUUUUAUUUAUUUUGCUGCCCAUUUCCUGUUGGUUUUUGUCCUGUCCUAGGUCUUUUAACAUUUAAGAAUCCAUGAAAGUGGUAUUUGCAUAUGUUGCCAAUUAUUCCAUUGACGAUGUUCUAAGUAGGGAACCUAGUAUCCAAACUUCCAUCCAAACUUCCAUAUAAAAAAAGUCCAGAACAGGCAUUCGGUUUACCAGGUUUAUCAGUUCUCUCCAGUGUUUAUUCAACUCUUAAAUGCAGUAUUCUGGACAUACUCCAAAUUUGAAAUUCCUUUGGUAAAAUAAAGGCAUGGUACUUAUAGUGGUCUAUUAAGGAAAAGGUUUGUUUGACCUAGCUUUUGUACAAAAAAUUCAAGGAUAGUCUUGCAGAUAUGUAUUGUAUAGGUGUAUAUUUCUCUAUCAUGACACAAGUGAGAAAAAAUUCACGAAAGUUGUUUUGUUUUAAUAAAAAAUUGAAAGUUAAUUUAUGUUUUGAGAGGGACAUUAGACAACCUAGGAUUCAAAGGGACAUGUUGUCUCUUAGGAAAAUAUAAUUCAUAGCAUUCUCAAUCACUUACAGGUUAUUUUAAUCCUUUUAAAUUGAUUUAUUUAAUUUUUUUCUUUAUAGUAGGCAAGCAAAAAAUAUAUUUACAACACCUACUAUUAUCAUUAUUUUGGUAAUUAGCAUUGAUGGAGAUUGUAAAAAUUCUCUAAUAGUAUUGCAGGAGAAAAAUAAUAUUUAUGAAUUUUUGUUAAACGCAAUUGUCAUAAUGAUAAUAGUUAAUUAGAAUAAUAUAAGUUUGUAAUUGGAAAAAUUUUAAAAAAUAAUAGCUUUUGGAAAUAGUUUGAAUAGGAGUACAAAAUUCUUGGAUUUCAUGGAGAGCUUAGGUGGGAUCUAAAGCAUGGGGCUGUUUGCUAUCUAUUUUAGUAUUUGCUGCUCUUCUCUCUUAUAGGUGUUCAGUUGCAGCUUGUAUUCUCUGAGCGUACUUGGGUUGUGCCCCCUUUUGUGUUCUUCAAUAUAAUCUUCAGGCUCAUGACUAGUGCAAUUUCUACUAAUUGAUCACUUUUCACUUCAAAUAAUAUUCAGUAAUCCAAAUAGCAUUUAUCAAAUUAUUUUUAACUGCCAUUAGAUUUAUAAAGAACCCAAAAUGUGAAAAUUUCUUCUUAGGCAUGAGAAAUUGUCAUUGUUAUAAACCCCAUGUUUGUCUUGUACUUACAAGCAUAAUUAUAAAGCAUGAUCUGCAUGUCUUAUCAUGAAAUAUAACAAUGUCAUAAAAUAGAUGAUUGAUAAAAUAUUAGAAGUCCAUUACAAAUGCUUAAUGGAACUGAAAAUUAUUACAGAGCAAGUGCAUAUUUCAGUCAAACUUUUAUGCAGUAGUGGUAGCUUAUAAACUCACAACUUUGUAAUCAUGUGCUUGAAUCAAGUAAACUUAAUGGAUCUCAGCUACAUCUGCUCUACAUUUUAACCAUUGUUUUAUGUUAUGGGAAUAGUGACUGAAUUUCACAGUCCCAUCAUUAUAAUUUAUGCAUGUAAAUUCAUUUGGGACUUAGUUUUCACAUGUGUUCACAUGUCAUAACUGUAAUUUCCCUAAUUUUAUGAGUAAGAAAAACUCUUUAAUUUUCCCUAUUUUGACUGAAACUUUAGGAACUUGGACUUUAUUUGGUGCAAAUGUAUGUUAUCAACUAUUGCUUUUGACCAGUCAUGAGUAGAUGCUAUUUAUAAAAGGACACAAAGGAGGAUAUAAUCCAAGUGCACUUGUAGUCGACAAGUUACUCUGGGCAUCAAAAUUGAAAGAAACAACAAUGAAGAAAAGCAUCAAGAAAGUGCCCCUACCUCCCAAACUGUCAAUGAACUACUGGAAGGAUCUACUACUAUUCAAGAUAACUUCUUCUAAGCACAACUACAUGUAACAGUACUUAGCCUGCGCUAUGGUGUCAAAAGGUAGGCUCAUUGGAACAUGCCUAUUUUGAUGGAUUUUAGUUUGUGGGGAUAGUUAAAGUGUAAAGUGUAAAGUGUUUGAUAAAAUAAAUUUGCUAGUUUUAAUAAAUUGGAAUUACUACUGAAUAAAAUGUGAAGCUAGGUAUUAGGAGGAGAAAGAAAGGUAAUUAAUUUAUUUGUAUGACACUAUGACUUACACACUGUGAAGCUUACUGGUUGGGAAUUGUUGAACAGGGGAACUUACUUAAUAGGGGAGAAAGAAUCACACAUAUUACUUGAUGAGAAAAUAUAAUUACAUUAGCCAAAGGCCAAAAAUAUAUGAGUGGUUCACUGAUUGCAUAUUAUUGGAAAGAGAGCUGAGCAUCAUAUGAUUCAUAAACUUUUUACAAUUUAAAGGCCUGGGUCCAAUGAGAUAUGUUGCAUCAUAUUACCUAAUGAACCAAUGAAGUUUAUGGAUUUCCAAAACUUCUUGGAGAGGUUCACUAUUUUAUGGUUCUUUUUUUUGAUAAGUAAAAGUAUUGUAUAAAAACCACCAAUGCAGUGGAAAAAUAAAUACAAGAAAGAACACACUCCCCACUCCCUAGCUAAAAGCCAAGGACAGAGGAGCAGCCCAACACACACCCUUAACGGGUUCUCACCCAACCAACAAAAUCAACUAAGGUCGAGGGACCAUCUUUUAUAGACAAUUUCGUCUCCGACCAAAGAAAAUAUACAAACGAAUACUUAAGCCUUUGAAUAGACAACUCUUCUUCCUCAAAGGCAAUUUUGUUCCUUGCCUUCCAAACCAUCCAAAAAAGACACAAAGGACUUGCUCUCCAAACACCCUUCCUCUUUUUUCCCACAAAAGACCCAUUCCACCCCAACAACGUCUCCUUAACAAUUUUGUUCUUUUUUUUUUAGGGUUCUUUAUUCCAAAACUUUUUGCUCCAUACCUCUUUGGAGCUCAAUUCUUUGGCAAAGCAGGAAGAAAACAAAUUAGCAUCAACUUUAGCUUGACUUGAGAUCACAAAUCCGACUAGAGAUUUUGCAGUAGUGUGUUGAGGUCUAAUCCGAAUCCAGGUUGUGAUGUGUGCAUCAAAGAGUCUUUCCAUAAGCCAUGAAGCUUUGAGGUGUUUUGUGAUGGCAUGACUGGAUAAUGAGAUGCAUUUUGGUCUGAAAUUUGGAGUUCGGUUAUGCAUUUCUGUAUCUAUAUCUCCAAAAUUAUUAACUAAUUUUAAUCAUUUUAUCUAUUUUUCAAAAUAAACAUUCAAAAUUGAAAGUUUGUGUCACGAGUCUUCAGGCUUAUCCGGAAUAGAAUGUCCUGCAUUAACUCUUGCUGUUAAUGCAUAUAAUACCAGGCGAGUCAACACAGCCAUUUGCUUGCUUAUGUUGACUUUCAAUGGGUUAAAAUUUAUGGCUUCAAUGGUUAUUACCAUGCUAACACUAAAACUAUUUUUUUGUUUUUGAUAGGUGUUGAAAUAAUGCCAAAGUUAGGACUUUAAUUUAGGAAUAAAAAAGGAGAGAUCAUUUAGGAUAUUUCCUUAUGAUUUAGUUUCCUAAUUUUAGGAGAGAAUUAAGCUAGAUUGAUUUUUUCUUAUUCAGUCAUUUGUGUAUAUAUAUGUGUAUGGUGUGUACCGAUUAAUCAUCAAUAAAGGAGUUCAGAAAUUCUUCAUGGUAUCAGAGCCAGUUUUCUGAAACCCUAAUCCCUUCUGGCCACCUCUUAUUCAGGCCAUCACUCAUUCCGGCCAAAUCUCUCUAGCCAUAUCUCAAUCCGAUCAUCUCUCUCUCUCUCAUUCCGGUCAUCAGUCCCUGUUCUCAGAGCCAAGGGAGAAAACGCUUUCUGGUCAGUCGAAUCGUCGUCAGAAAACACUCACCGCCGGCAACUUUUCCGGCGAACUUUCCGGCGACUGUUUUUUUUUUCUACACCGCAAGGAGCGCCUGGAGGAGAUCUCCAAUUUGUCCCAAAGCACCGGAACCAGAAACCCAUCCACGCGCCACCCACGCGCGUUUUUCCGCCCGGCGACUGCAUCUCACGCGCCGGCGCGUGAGGGCGCGUGAGCCACUUUCCGACGACGCGCUUCCUCCUCCAGGCUCGCCUGACGCCGACCAGCCACCCUUCUUACCUGUUUGUGCAAUCCGAGCCCUGCACGUGCCUCUUUUGGGGUUCUUUUGCUUCCGCGGGCCCUCUGAUCAGAUUUUCCGGCGUCCUCCGGCUAUUUUUUCACAACUCCAGUCCCUGCACGUGCCUUGGGAAGUGUUCUUCUACCUUUCCGGUCCAUGACAAAAUACGGAAUGGCAUCAUCACAAGUAUCCAGCGUCACGUCACCAGAAUCAGGGGGCAGAUCUGAAAUUCCAAACCUUGGUGGCAAUGAUUCCUCUCCUAUUCUCAUCACAGGACACAAAUUAAAUGGCCAUAACUAUUUACAGUGGUCACAAUCUGUGUUGCUGUUCAUUUGCGGUAAAGGAAAGGAUGAGUACCUCACUGGAGAAGCAGUCAUGCCAGAAACUACAGAACCGGGUUUCAGGAAGUGGAAGAUUGAAAACAGCAUGAUCAUGUCAUGGCUUAUCAAUUCCAUGAACAAUGACAUAGGCGAAAAUUUCUUGCUGUUUGGGACUGCAAAGGACAUAUGGGAUGCAGCCAAAGAAACUUACUCAAGUUCUGAAAAUACUUCAGAACUGUUUCAGGUUGAAUCAACUCUACAUGACUUCCGCCAAGGAGAGCAGUCAGUUACUCAGUAUUACAACACACUCACAAGGUAUUGGCAGCAACUUGACUUAUUUGAGACUCACUCAUGGAAAUGUUCGGAUGAUGCAGCAACAUACAGGCAAAUUGUGGAACAAAAGAGACUGUUCAAGUUUUUCCUAGGACUAAACAGGGAAUUGGAUGAUGUUAGAGGCCGAACCAUGGGCAUUAAACCCCUGCCAAGUCUCAGGGAGGCUUUUUCAGAGGUUAGGCGUGAAGAAAGUAGAAAGAAAGUGAUGAUGGGAUCAAAAGAGCAACCUGCCCCGACAUUGGAUGCCUCUGCCCUUGCUGCUCGGUCAUUUAAUAGUAGUGGUGGAGAUCGUCAGAAACGGGAUAGGCCUUGGUGUGAUUAUUGUAAGAAACCAGGCCAUUAUAAGGAGACUUGCUGGAAGCUUCAUGGCAAACCGGCUGAUUGGAAACCAAAGCCACGGUUUGACAGAGAUGGCAGAGCACACGUGGCUGCCAACUCUGAGAGCACAUUUGUUCCCGAGCCGAGUCCAUUCAACAAAGAGCAGAUGGAGAUGCUACAGAAAUUAUUAAGCCAAGUUGGCAGUGGCAGUACUACCGGUGUAGCCUUCACUGCUAAUCGAGGAGGAAUGAGGCCGUGGAUAGUAGACACAGGUGCUUCUGAUCACAUGACAGGAGAUGCUGCCAUUCUUCAAAAUUACAAGCCAAGUAAUGGUCAUUCAUCCGUCCAUAUUGCUGAUGGUUCAAAGUAAAAAAUUGCCGGGACAGGUUCUAUAAAACUUACUAAAGACUUAUAUCUUGACUCUGUCCUCCAUGUUCCAAACUUGGAUUGUAAUCUUUUGUCCAUUAGCAAAUUGGCUCGUGAUCUCCAAUGUGUUACUAAAUUCUAUCCAAACUUGUGUGUUUUUCAGGACUUGAAAUCGGGGAAGAUGAUUGGCAGUGCUGAACUGUGUUCCGGGCUCUACCUCCUUUCAUGUGGCCAAUUCUCAAACCAAGUCUCUCAAGCAAGUUGCGUACAGUCUCAGAGUAUGUCAGAGUCUUUCAAUUCUGUGUCAAAUUCUAAGGUCAAUAAAGAUAGUGAGAUUAUAAUGUUACACUAUCGCCUUGGUCAUCCUAGCUUUGUUUACCUUGCAAAAUUGUUUCCCAAAUUAUUUAUCAAUAAAAAUCCAGCAUCUUAUCACUGUGAAAUUUGUCAGUUUGCAAAGCAUACUCGAACAGUAUAUCCUCAAAUCCCAUACAAACCUUCGACUGUUUUCUCUCUAGUACAUAGUGAUGUGUGGGGUCCCUCCCGGAUAAAAAAUAUUUCUGGCACUCGAUGGUUUGUGACAUUCGUUGAUGAUCAUACUCGGGUAACAUGGGUUUUCCUUAUGAAAGAAAAGUCAGAGGUCGGACACAUUUUUCAAACCUUCAAUCUUAUGGUUCAAAAUCAAUUCAAUUCCAAAAUACAAGUCCUCAAGUCAGAUAAUGCAAAGGAAUACUUUACUAGUAGUCUCAGUACUUAUCUUCAAAAUCAUGGCAUUAUCCACAUAAGUUUUUGCGUUGACACCCCACAACAAAAUGGGGUGGCUGAACGCAAGAAUAGACAUCUCUUGGAGGUUGCCCGGUGCCUUAUGUUUUCCUCUAAUGUUCCAAACUAUUUCUGGGGGGAAGCUAUUCUCACAGCUACCUAUUUGAUUAACCGUAUGCCAUCCAGAGUGCUUACCUUUCAAUCCCCACGUCAACUUUUCUUAAAACAGUUUCCUCACACCCAUGCCGCCUCUUCUGAUUUACCACUCAAAGUAUUUGGUUGCACGACAUUCGUUCAUGUGUAUCCUCAAAAUCGUAGCAAAUUUGCUCAUCGAGCAAAUAAGUGCAUUUUUCUAGGGUAUUCUCCAACCCAAAAAGGGUACAAAUGCUAUUCUCCAACCAACAAAAGAUUUUACACCACCAUGGACGUCUCUUUCUUUGAACAUGUCUUCUUCUAUCCCAAAUCUCAUGUUCAGGGGGAGAGCAUGAAUGAACAUCAAGUUUGGGAGUCUUUUCUUGAGGGUGUACCUUCUUUUCAUUCAGAGUCACCAAAUCCUUCCCAAUUCGUGCCCACUGAGUUGUCCACACCCAUGCCGCCAUCAGUUCAGCCAGCCCAGCACACAAAUGUUCCUUCUCCCGUGACCAUCCAGUCUCCCAUGCCUAUUCAACCUAUAGCCCCACAACUUGCUAAUGAGAACUUACAAGUUUACAUCAGGAGGAGGAAAAGACAGGAAUUAGAGCACGGAUCACAGUCAACAUGUGGCCAAUAUAUUGACUCCAAUUCAAGUCUUCCUGAAGAGAACAUAGGUGAGGAUAGGGCUGGAGAGGUGUUAAUUCCCAGCAUUGAUGAUUCUACUUUGCCAAUUGCAUUGAGGAAGGGUGUUAGGAGAUGUACAGAUCAUCCAAUUGGGAAUUAUGUUACGUAUGAAGGGUUAUCACCAUCUUACAGAGCAUUUGCCACUUCUCUUGAUGAUACUCAGGUUCCCAACACAAUACAAGAGGCAUUAAAAAUUUCAGAAUGGAAGAAGGCAGUACAAGAUGAGAUUGAUGCACUUGAGAAGAAUGGGACGUGGACUAUCACAGAUUUGCCGGUUGGGAAGAGGCCUGUGGGGUGCAAGUGGAUUUUCACCAUAAAAUACAAAGCAGAUGGAUCAGUCGAAAGAUUCAAGGCUCGUUUGGUAGCUAGAGGGUUUACACAAUCCUAUGGGAUAGACUAUCAGGAGACUUUUGCUCCUGUUGCAAAACUGAACACUAUCAGGAUCCUUCUCUCAUUGGCUGUCAAUCAAGAUUGGUGCUUGCAACAACUGGACAUAAAAAAUGCGUUUCUAAAUGGGGACCUAGAAGAGGAAGUCUACAUGGAAAUACCACCUGGUUUCGAAGAAAGUAUGGCAAAGAAUCAGGUUUGCAAACUCCAAAAAUCCUUGUACGGCCUUAAACAAUCUCCUCGAGCCUGGUUUGAUAGAUUCACAAAAGCAGUCCUGAAGUUGGGCUACAAACAAGGUCAGGCUGAUCAUACUCUAUUUGUCAAGAAGUGUCAUGCCGGGAAAUUGGCCAUAUUGAUAGUCUAUGUCGAUGAUAUUAUUCUAUCUGGGAAUGAUAUGGGGGAGUUACAGAAUUUGAAGAAGUAUUUGUCAGAAGAGUUUGAAGUUAAAGACCUUGGAAAUUUGAAAUAUUUCCUUGGUAUGGAAGUGGCGAGAUCAAGGAAGGGAAUCGUAGUCUCUCAAAGAAAAUACAUACUCGAUCUUCUUAAGGAGACCGGUAUGCUUGGAUGCAAACCAAUUGAUACUCCUAUGGAUAGUCAGAAGAAACUUGGUAUCGAGAAAGAAAGUACACCGGUAGACAGGGGGAGAUAUCAGCGGCUUGUCGGGCGCUUGAUUUAUCUCUCACACACUCGGCCAGAUAUUGGCUUUGCAGUGAGUGCUGUAAGUCAAUUCAUGCACAGCCCCACUGAGGAACACAUGGAAGCAGUCUACAGAAUUCUUAGAUAUUUAAAAAUGACACCAGGGAAAGGCCUAUUCUUCAGAAAGACAGAGAACCGUGACACUGAAGUAUACUCAGAUGCGGAUUGGGCAGGAAACAUCACUGACAGGCGGUCCACUUCCGGAUAUUGUUCUUUUGUCUGGGGAAAUCUUGUUACCUGGAGGAGUAAGAAGCAAUCAGUUGUAGCCAGAAGUAGUGCAGAAGCUGAGUACAGAGCUCUUGCACAGGGAAUCUGUGAAGGGAUUUGGAUAAAAAGGGUUCUUAGUGAACUGGGACAAACGAGUUCAUCUCCAAUUCUGAUGAUGUGUGAUAAUCAGGCAGCUAUAAGCAUAGCAAAGAACCCCGUGCAUCAUGACAGGACCAAGCAUGUUGAGAUUGACAGACACUUUAUCACAGAGAAGGUGACUAGUGAGACGGUCAAAUUGAACUAUGUUCCUACCAAGCACCAAACCGCAGACAUCCUCACCAAAGCUUUACCUAGGCCUAACUUCGAAGACUUAACUUGCAAGCUGGGAUUAUAUGAUAUAUAUUCUCCAGCUUGAGGGGGAGUGUUGAAAUAAUGCCAAAGUUAGGACUUUAAUUUAGGAAUAAAAAAGGAGAGAUCAUUUAGGAUAUUUCCUUAUGAUUUAGUUUCCUAAUUUUAGGAGAGAAUUAAGCUAGAUUGGUUUUUUCUUAUUCAGUCAUUUGUGUAUAUAUAUGUGUAUGGUGUGUACCGAUUAAUCAUCAAUAAAGGAGUUCAGAAAUUCUUCAUGAUAGGUAAAUAAGAGCUUGUAUUAGAAGGGCCCAAGAAACUAGGCAAAGAAGACAAAAAACUUUUCCCCUAACUAGACAUAUGGCCACUCUAUAAAAUCAAUCAUAGACAAAGUAUGAUCCUCCAUAAACACUCUAACCCAAUUUACAAACGUAUACAAAAAGAAAUGUUUUAAAGGUUGGUCGGACUGUUCGAUAUCAUUAAAUGCUCUUUCGUUUCUUUCCUUCCAUAAAGUCUACAUUAAGCAUAAAGGGGCAACCCUCCAAGACUUCUCCCUUCUCUUACCCACAAAGGCACCAUGCCAACCAAGCAAAUCCCUUUUAAUCGAAGAAUGCAAAACCCACUGCACACCAAAAAGGGAGAAAAUCAAACUCCAAAGCAUCGUAGCCUUUCUGCAAAACAAGAUUAAAUGGUCACUGGUUUCCUCUUUCUCUUUACACAAGCAUAUUCAAACUAAUAACUAAUAGUUAUUGGAUUUAAAGCUUGUUUGUUAACGUUCUUCAUGGUUGUGCUUCUAUUUUUAAUCAAUUCUCUUGGCCAUCACCGUUUCCCCCUUAUUAAGAUUGGGUAUUUAAGUUUCAACGAAACAGCCUACUAAAUCCUCAAGAUAGAUCCUAUUUAUAAGGCAUGGGAGUUUUGGUCAAUGUCUGCUUCCAAAAUUCUUAUCCAUAUUUCUAUGAAUUCUUAUGCCAGAAAGUCUACUUCUUGCAGAAUUUUGAUGAUGUCUUGGUUCCUCCUGAUCACAUCAGUAGGAGUUACAAUGAUACAUACUACAUUGACUCUCAAACUGUCUUGAGGUGCCACACUAGGGCUCAUCAAGCAGAGCUGUUGAGGAGGGGACACACUCAUUUCCUUGUGACUGGAGAUGUUUAUCAUAGAGAUUUCAUUGAUUCAACUCACUACCUGUUUUUCAUCAGGUUUCUUAUUUCUGAUUUUAUCAAUGAUUGUUUUCUAUUAACAAGUUUCUUAUGUUUUCUUCAGUUCAAUAAUUUUGCUUCCUGAUCAUGCAGAUGGAAGGUGUUCGUGUCUUCUUUCCAGGUGAUUGGGAGACAUCUGGAAUGGAUGGCACAUCUUAUGUGGUUGAGGAUUUAAAGAAAUGUCUUGACGGUUUGGCGCAGCACUUGUUUGGUAAACUUAGAUCAGGAGAUUGUCUUAAUCAGAUACAAACUUAAUACUAUCAGUUGAUGCUGCAGUGAGAAAUAUGGGUUAAGGAAUUAUUUACCAGGUCUCAUAAUUCAAAAUCUGGGAAAUACAUCAAGUAAAAGGGGAGGAAAAUAAUGAAAUAAUAAAAUAAUAAAUUUAAGUGGGGGAAAGCAAUUCAUGUUAUGCAAAAGCAGUACAGGUUGGUCAUUUAGAAGUCAAAUCAAGAUAGUCCAGAAUAAUAUAGGGAAUUAUUUGUGAUUCUCAAGGUACUUGUUAAGAAUCAUUGACAAAUUACCUAAAGAAACAUUUAAGAGUGCUAUUAUUCUUGAAAUUUCUGAAAUCUAUCAGAAAGGUAGUUUUCAUCUUGGGGUUUACCAUAUACUGUAUAGAAUCUGCGUGGGCUAAAUCUGUUGAAAUUUGCAGGUAAUGUAGAAAUGCACUGGAUUGAUACAUAUUUCCCUUUCACCAACCCAUCAUUUGAACUUGAGAUAUAUUGUCAGGUAUGCUUUUGAUCUAGGUGGUGGUUACAUUUUAGCACUAUAUACUUUGAAUUUCUUUAAAACUUUGUUUUUGAACUAAUUUUCACAGAAACAGGCUCCAUUUCAUUUUUCUGUUUUCACCUUUUGCAAGAAAGGGUAAAAAUCAUUUCAAAAAUGUGAACUUCAGUUUAUUCCAUUGCUGGCAUGUGUGGCUUUCAUCUGUUAUUGAAGACACUAAGAUUCAUAGACUGAUAAUAUUCCAAUGCUUAUAAUAACAGUAAUGUUGGUGAUAAAAUAAUAUAAAAGUAGAAACAAAAUUAGUUGUCUCCCUUUUUUUUCGUUUAGUUUCUUUGUUCUUCUUACCCCUCUGAUGUGGGGAGGGGGUGUGGGGCUCUUUGUUGUCGCCAAAUGUGAAAAAGAAGAGGCAUUAUGUCCUUUUAUUUUGGAUUUACAGGACCUAUUAUGAAGGCAUUUAUGACUUCAAGACUUUUUUGUAUUUUAUUUUAUGGAAGCAUUUUUUUAGCGUCACUAGUGAAGGAGAAAUUCAUAAACAUAUAUACACACAUGCUAGUGGGCAUACACAAACACUGAUGUUCCACACAGUAAUUAAAAAAUUCUUGCUUUGAGGAGUAUCUUUUUCCUGAACUCAUGUCCAUGUCAAAUGGCAACAUGCCAAUGACUAUUUGCCAGCAGAUGGAAUGCUGGCAACACUUUUAUGGAUUGAAUGUUUUCCUUUCCCCUUUCUUUGUAGUGAAUGAUGUGUACUCUUUAGUUGCUCUUACAUAUUUGAUGCAUUGUGCUUCAUGCCCUAAUUGAUGCAGAACAGAAAAGUACCAGAAAAAAUGAUGGGAGUCUAGGAAUUACUUCCAAAAACCUUAGGCUUCGCAUAUAGGUUUAGUUUGCAUCACACAAAAAAGAAACAUUGCAAGCUGGAAGGUUUUGUGUUUUCAUUCAUUGAUCCUUUUAGAAGAUAGAGUGAUCAGCUUUGUAAACUACAACCCUAAGACCCCUAAUACUCUUUGGAACCAAUCACAGUAAUAAUAAAGCUGAGAAAUCAGAAACUUGAACUGAUAAAUAAAAAUUAAAAGGCACUUGCAAAUAUAAAGCAUUAAUGACUUUGGAAAUAAGAACACUCCAAUACCCCCCAUGCCCUUCGGAAAACUCAACCUUGACAAGUUAAAGUCAUGAAAUUUCUCAUAACGAUCACAAUUCAACUGCUGAAAUUCAUUGCUUGUGAUCCACAUACAAUCUCAAAGUGGCCUUUCUCUCCAUUCCACAAGAUGCUUUUGAUAACCUCCUCUUCUGGUUGAAACAAUUUAGUGACCAACAACUUUUCAAUCUUCUCUUUCAAUCAAGGGGCUGGUAGAAGAUGACCAUUUGGACCAUUAAUUGAUGUAGCAGCUUUAGGAUUAGGAAAAAGGGUGUGGUCUUCAAUAUUAGAGAUCUUAUUAAUGCCCAUAUUUUCUGGCAAGUCAAGUACAUAAGCGUUGGGACUUGUUUUCCUGAGAAUUUUAUAGGGACCAACAUUCUUUGAGUGGAGUUCUUAUAGGCACCUCUAGGAUAUUGUUCAGGCCUUAUUCACACAAUAACCAUAUCACCUUCAAUAAGUUCAGCAAAUUUUCUUUUCACAUCAUCGUAUGACUUAUUUAUUUAUUUGAUAGGCAAGCGGGAAAAACAUGUAAUCAUAUGACUUAUAAUUUCAUUGAUGAAAACAAGUUUCAUUGAACAUGAUAAUGUAUGCCAUCUAUAUGCUCACUAAAAGCAUCAGAUUCAAUGCUAGGUCAUGCAUCCAUUGGUAAAGGAACCAAAUCCAUAGGCUUUCUAGGAAGUGAUUCAGUCACAAUCUCAAAUGGACUGUGACCAAUAGACCUGUUCAGGGAGCUAUUAUUUGCAAAUUCGGCCAUUGAUCUGAUCUCCAGCUAGGCAGUGAAGUAAAUGAUCCAAGCUUCAAUUAACGACUUCUAUUUAGCCAUCUGUUUGAGGGUGAAAAGCAAAAGAAAACUUUAGUUUGGCAUUCAGUAUUUUCCAUAAAGUUCACCAGAAGAAACUCAUGGACCUACCAUCCAGUUUAGGAAAAUCAUGAAGGCGAACAAUUUCCUUGAAGAAGAGGUUUUUUUUUUUUUUUGAUAGGUAUUCCUUGAAGAAGAGUUUAACAAUUAGGCAACAUCUUUAGUCCUUAAGCAUGGGAUAAAUUGUACCAUCUUGGAGUAAUGAUUUACCACUACACGUAUGCAAUCAUGUCUCUGACAGUUUUCGGCAAACCAGGGACAAAAUCCAUGCAUAGGUCUAGCCAUGGCUCAUGUGGCACAGAAGUGGCAUGUAUGGAUCUGUAUUCUUCCUUUUCCUCUUUGAUAAUUUGCAGGUUCGAUGUCUGGAGACAUUCUUAGCCACAUCUUUUUCAGACUUGGUCAAUAAAAAUGAUUUUCCACCAUUGUAAUGGUUUUAUCUCUUCCAAAAUGACCAGUUGUUUCUCCAGCAUGAAGUUCCAAUAUUACUUGCUCAUGAAAUGAUGUUUUGGGUAAGCAAAGCCGAGUCCCUUUGAAGCAAUAUCAAUCAUGUAAAAAAUCACCAUAUUCUCCCGAAUUUCUAGGCACUAAAGCAACACAUAUAGUGCUAAAAUCUUUGCAAGAAGGAUAAGGGCUCUUAAACGAGUCAAAUCCAACAACUUGUACAGCAAUAGAAGAAAGAGUGUAUGCCAAUUUGCUAAGAGCCACUGCAAAGAAUUCUUUGUCAUAGAUACAAUAUUUCUGCUUUGCUUCAUUAAGAUUUUUGCUGAGAAAUGCAGUAGGGACACCUCUAACUCUUAUAUUUGAUGCAUUGCAUGCCGCUUCUAACACCUCCCGGAAAAUUGGAAGCUGCAAAACCAGUGCUUCAAUUAACGUUUUUGCCUUGGUCCAAUUCAACUGAUUUUUCUUCAUAGAAUAAGUUAUAGGGGCUGUAACAUUGCUGAAACUUAUGAUGAAAUGUCCAUGGAACAUUUCUAGCCCAUAGUAACUUUGUACUUAUUGUGAUGUGUUGGGAAUUAGGAUGGCUUUUACUUCAUUCAUACUUCCAAUCCUUUUGCCAAAACAAGAAGCCUAAGAAUACUACUGCUGAGAUCAUGAAAGAGCAUUUCUUCAAAUUUAUGUAGAGCUUUUCUUGGGGAACAACUGUCAUAACUUGCGAUAGAUGAGAGAUGUGAUCUCCUUUGGUCUUGCUGUAAUUAAGAUGUCAUCAAAGUAAACAACCAGGAACUUUUCAAUAAAUGGCUGAAGUACUUGAUUUAUGAAGCACAUGAAUGUGCUAGGGGCAUUUGAAAGGCCAAAAGGCAUGACUAGCCACUCAUAGAGGCCAUCUUUUGUUUUAAAGUCCGUCUUCCAUUCCUUUUCCAGUGUGCUGCUUAUUUGAUGAUAUCCACUCUUUAAAUCCAUCUUUGAAAAUAUGCAAGAGCCAGCCAUCAUGUCAUAUCUAACAUGUGAUUGAAUCAAGGGAUAGGAAACUGAUACUUGAUGGCUAUCUUGUUAGUAGUGUGACUGCCAACUACUAUCUUUUUUUGGUGUUAGCAAGGCAGGGACAGCACGAGGGCUUAAACUUUCAUGAAUAGUUCCCUUGGGCAGCAGCUACUCCAAUUGUCCUUUUAGUGCUUCAUGCUCACUUGGAUUCAUAUGAUAGGCUGGAAGAUUAGGCAGUUGAGGCCUUGCCAUAAAAUCUAUAAGCAUGCUGGAUGUUGCACAGAGAGGAAAGUUUUUGAGCAACAUCUAUGGUAGGUCUUUUCGAGCAACAUCUAUAGUCAUCAGGAUCAUAGGCUCUAUAAUCAAAUGAAUUUCGGUUUCUUCAUCUUUUUGUUGUUCUUGUUGUUCUUGUUGUUCUUCAUGCUCCAUUCCGAUGUACAAAUUGUUCUUUGGACAAUUUAGGUUAUUUGGCCGGGUUGUUGACACUUAAAACACCUAUUAACCUUACCCUUAGGGUUAGCGGCAUUAGAAGAAUACAACUUAGACCCUGUAGGUUGGACAAAUGGCUCGGAUUGGCCUAUUCUUGCACUGCAACCUACAUCAGUGAACCUCCUCUGCACUGGUUCUAUGGAUGAAACUCACAUCCCAGGUACGCCUCCAUAUCUAAUGCAAAUUGAAAAGCUUUUUCUAGGCUGUAUAAUGGAUGAUGCAUCAACUCUCUUCUCAUUUUAGGUCUCGAUCCAGCUUUGAAUCAUGCAAGAGUUUGCCCUUGGGUCUUCUACUAUUUGACUCCAAGUCUUUAGCUCAUGUAAUCUUUGCAUGUACUUUGGUCUCUGCAACAGACAUGUUGUUUUGAUUCAUAGUAAUGAGGUGAUUACAUAACUUAUUACAAUAAUUGGUCCUGCAUAUAUUUUUCACAUAGCUUAUCCUUCAUCUCCUGCCAUGUGCUGACAGGUGGUAGCCUCAUCUUCCCAUCUUCCUAGUAUCUCUUUCAACAUCUAUCCACUAAUCUUUUGCUAGGCCUACUAGUUUCAUUUUAGUAAACCACCCUCUCUGUUCAUCAUUCAUACAUACCAAUCAAAACAGUCCUCAAUUGUAGCUAGCCAAUCAACAAAUUGAGUAGCAUCGCCCUUCCUUCAAGUUAGGAACUUCUCCUUUUACUUUCCUUGUGAUAUCUUCAGCAGUUUCACAAGGUUUACACCUUGUUUCAGGUAGUCCUCUAGCCCAUUCAGAUAUAGGAUAUUGUGGUGCAUGUCCGAUGUUCCUCCAAGUUUUUGUUGUUAUUAAUUUGAGAUAAUUCUCCUUGCACAACACGUGCUAAAUCAUUAGUGGGCUGAGAUAUUUGUGUCUCAAUGUUGCUUAGUUGAAUAUGCAGGCUAUCAAGCUGUUCCAUCACCAAAAUAGUAUCUCAUCAUGUUGAUUAUUAGAUAAAUCUAUUUUGAAACUCCUCCUAGGUCUUGUAAUCAUGAUCUCAGCUUGCUCUGAUGCCAAAAUUGAUGCCAAACAGAAAGGUAAUAGAAAACAUGUUGGGACUCUAGGAAUCACUUCCAAAUCUUAGGCUUCACACUUAAGUUCAGUUUGCAUCACACAAACAAGUUGAACUGUCACAGUACGAUUGGUUCAUAAUAAGGUGUCAUCUGAUUGGUUCUCGUGGAGGCAACCUGUGAUUGUUCAAACUGGAGGCUGCACCUGAUUGAUUACAUUGAAAGUUGGAAGGUUUUGUAUGAGAUAAAUGAACCAACUUUAUCCACUAUAACUCUAGACCUUAGACUCUUUUGGAGCUAAUGGCAAUACUAAUGAAGUUGGAAAAUCAACAAUGUGAACUGAUAAAAAAAAUUGAAAGACUCUUGAAAAUGUAAAGCAUUAAUGAUUUUGGAAAUAAGAACACUUGUGAUCCUUUGACUAGACUCAUAAACAAAACUUAGACUGAAAUCCACAUUGAAGUAUAUAAAAUCCCAACUGGGCCUAUUAUCAUCCUAAGUAUACCAAAUCAUAAUUUGGGCCUUAAGAGUCCAAUCUCUAUGCAUUUGUUAACCUUUCACAGGUGAUUGCCACUUGUCUUCAUCGCUAACAAACACGAUUAUAGCAUCAGAGAAGAGCCAUGUCCCCAAAUCUGGCAGUAAAAGUUCUUUUUACAAGCUAACCUCAGGGAUCCAAUUACUACAUUAUUGUGUUAACCAUGAGCAUUGGUGCUCCUGUUCUGCUUGCAUGGUUACACUGAACCUGCUAUCCAAAUGUGUUGGUUGACCGAAUGAGAAACUCUAGGAAAAUGAAUGAAUUCAUAGUGACAUAGCAACAUUGAAUGCAACUUGUGUGUUUGUGUGAACAGGAUUGGGCGAGUUAAAGAGAGUUUUUAGAAGGGAUAAUACCUUUUUAAUUGGUCUUAGUGUUCAGUAUGCAGCUGGUUCAGUGAUCAGGAGGCCAGUUUAUAAUACAAUUUUCUUGAGAUUUUUAUUGAAGUGAUCCCUUGAAAAGUCAGGCUACUUUUCCAAGAAGUAAAUAUUUUAUCUUGUAGGUUGUAAAAGAUGCAUUCUCAGAAUAGGUGCCUUGAUUAUGUUUCUUCAGCAGAAGAACCUACAAUUAGGAUCCUGUGUAUAUCCUUUCUUGGAAUUUUCAUAAAUUUACCAGUAUUAACUUCCUAUUUUAGGACUAACUGUUCAGAAAAUCUAUGGAAAAGACUAAAGAGUAAGUACUAAGUAGAACCUCCAAGGGCUGCUAAAAAGCACUUCCCAGGGCCAUGAGCCAAAACUGGGCCAUUUGGAAAGGGGUUGUAACAAGUCACUUGACUAGGGGUUGUUAGAGGCCAUCAUUAGCCAAGAUUGGUUUUAGAUUCAACUUUAGGAAUUUAUUUAUUUUUCCUGAUUUCUCUUUUAUUUUUAGUUACAUAAUCAUAUUUGACUCUUGCUUUCCACUCUAAAUUCACAAUAUGUGAACCUUAUGAUAGAAAUUUUUAACUUCAGAACAUGAGUUGGGAUGUAUCAGAGAAGAAAGUUUCAAAUCCCUGGACUAGCAUUUCUGUAAUGCCUCAAUGAAAUUUUAUUGUAUGAUUAUCUACUUGAAGUAGCAAACCAUUAUCCUUUUAUUGCCAUUGAAUUGUGAAACCAUUAUGCCAUUACAUUGACAUCUCCAAAUGAAUUAUUUUAAUUUGAAUAGUUUUGCAUUAACUUAUUAUUUGACAAUCAUUGCCUAUAGUUUUUUGGCAGAACACUAUGAUCUCACUAAGCAACAUCCAUUGAUAAUUUAUCAGGAGAAAUGGUUAGAAGUUUUAGGUUGUGGGGUGACAGAGCAAGAAAUAUUACAGAAAAGUGGUAAAACAGGUAAUGUUGCUUGGGCUUUUGGGCUUGGAUUGGAACGGCUAGCAAUGGUUCUGUUUGGGAUACCUGAUAUUCGGCUUUUCUGGUCAACUGAUGAGCGGUUGACCUCUCAAGUAAUUCCCCAAUUCAGUAAAUGAUACUGUAUUUUAUUUUAUUCUCCUUUUCUGUCUUUGUGGUUAAGUAAUCAUUACCAAAAUUGAUAUCCUUAGGAAAAUAAAGCAUGCUGAAAAUUGACCUUGUUGACAUUCUUAAUGUCUGAUUUAGGUUCCCUGAAUGUUUAAUUUAAAUGCUUUGUAUGCAGUUCUCAAAGGACCAGCUUGGGGUCAAGUUCAAGCCAUUUUCAAAGGUAUUGCUUAUAUUUUUCUCAGUUUGAUAAUAGUAGUAUCUUCUUCUGAUGUUGUGUUAAUUGAAACUGUUGCAUAAUUUUCAUGCAAAAGGAUCCAAGACAUUUUGGGGGCCGGCAUUUCUAAGUAUAACCAGAAAAAGUCCUUUAUGCAAAUAUGUCUUUUACAUUCUGAAAUCGAAAAAAUUAAUUACACACAACAUAAUAACUAAAUAUUUAUACCUGUUAGAGCCCCUUGUAACCUUCUCUAUUGGCUGCUAGAAACUGACUAUUGUCUUUUUGCAGUAUCCUCCUUGUUACAAGGGCAUGAGUUUUUGGAUUAAUGAGUCGUUCACAGAAAACAAUUUAUGUGAGGUUGUAAGAGGAGUUGCUGGAGAUUUUGUCCAGGAGGUAUGCCUUUUUAUGUUUCUUCUUGUAAAUUGUUCAUUAGCUAUAGAUCUCUUCAUGGUUCACUUGGUAGAAUUUUCCUAACCAUUUGUAUAGUUACACUGAAAGCACCGAACCAAUUUGUGUUUUAAUUAGGGGUGUGCAGGGUUUGGUUUGUUUAGUUUCGAACUUUAAAAUAAAACCAAACCAGUCUAAUUGGUUUUAUGUAUUAGGAACCCAAGCUGGCCUAAUCGGUUUUAUGUAUUAGGAACCAGACUAAUUGAACUGAAAGAGGGAACUGAUCGGUUCAGUUCAGUUUAAUAGCAAUAAUUGAUAUAAGUUAAUUUACUAUAUUUCGGUCAAGAAAUAAAAUAAUUUUUUUUUUUUUAAUCAAUUUGGGUCGAAACCAAAAAGCUCAUAAUAGGACAUUGUUGGUCAAAAAGCUUAUAAUAGUUUAUUACAACAAGUUGCUUUAGAGUUUGCUCAAAUUACAUCAUUGUAACUCAUUUCAAAUCAUAUUAUUGUAACACAGCCGCAUGAAUAACUGUUGUUAUAGUCUAUGCUUAUCAUACUAAGUUUGGUUUGGGAUUCUAUCGAGUGUGAAAGAAGUGCACCAAAUUAAUAAGGUAACCAAUGGUUAUUGUAUAUUAUAGGUGUAUGUAUAUAACUUUUGAUUUGGUUUGGUUUAUUAUUUGUUUUCUAAAUGGCAUAGUUCAGUUUUUUUUAGAAAACCAAAAUUGUUGAAAAAUCUUUAAAAAUUGAUUGGUUCAGGCCAGUGUGGCUCAGUUCUAUCAUUUUUGUCCAUUUAAUCGGUUUUUAACACACCCCUAGUUUUAUUUCACUUUUCAGUUCUUGGACUUUCCAUGAAAAUAAUAUUGUUGUCAUGAAGCUACUGAGGCAGUUAUGGACCAAUUCCAUCCUCUGAAUUUGCUCAUAAAAGAGAUCCUCUCUCUUCUCUUCUUUUCUAUCUACCAUCAGUUGCAAUAAUAGAUCCAGUUUGCACAAAGCCAAGCUUAGAAAAUCUGGUCAUUGACAACCUGAAUAGUCUCUGGGAGCAUCCAGUAUCUUUUCUCCUUUGUGAGGGUGGAUAACUGGUCUGGGUCCCCUGCAUCAUUUUUCAUAGGUUGCAGAGCUGCUGUGUCCGUAUAGGAAAUAACAUGUUCUUCCUUCAUAGCUUUAAGUGCCAUCAGGAAUUGGAUAUGCUAAUAUGAGUGGGAGGACUCCAGAUGGUGGACUUACGAAGACCUCCACUCUGAUUCAUUGAUGCCAAACAUAUAAUUGUGAUAAAGAGAGGCUUCGGAAGUUGAUAUUCUUUUAAAGUGUUUCCAAUAUUGAAGGUUUAUAAAGAGGUUCAAAUUGAGAAAUUACUAUUCUCUAAAUAAUAGGAUCGUAGUCGGUUUUUCGUUCAAAAUUUGUCCUAUAUUCCAAGAUGAUUGUUGACAAUCUGAUCUAUAGUUAAACAGUGGCCAUAAUAAGUCCCUAUUUUCCUAGUGCCUGAAAGUGAAGCUCCAUUCUGAAGUUUUCUAAACUAUAAGAUACAUUUUUGACUUCCAGGUGCAAUUGAUCGACAAUUUCACCAACAACAAAGGAAUGACCAGUCAAUGUUAUCGGAUAGCAUACCGGUCCAUGGAGCGUUCACUUACAGAUGAGGAGAUAAAUGAGUUGCAGGUAUUUCAUGUUUAGGGGAUUUUGUACAAGUGAUUAAUAUUUCGUCUUGAUUACAGGUAAUGACUAAUAACCUGGAAUUUGGCUAUGAUUCUGGGGUGCAGUGGAAUGUUAGGGAGCAAGUGCACAGCAAGUUGAAGGUUGUUCUUAGAUGAGAUUUCUGAUGCUGGGAACCUAAUUUUUCUAUCUCACUCUGAUAAGUCUCCUUGUGAACAUUUUCUAUUAUUAUUCUUUUUGUUCCUACCUUUUACAUUUUGAACUAGGUACAGUUGGGAAAUUAGGCAUUCAAAACCAGCUUUAAUGGGAGAAACACUUUAGGAAAAUAAGGAAAAUGUACUAGAAAGAAUAAUGCAUACGUUGAUCAAUGUGAAAUUUAUUUUUGUAUACAAUGUUUCUCUAAUAAUUUUAACAAUGCCUGACCUUAAAUAUAGUAAUUAAUUGCUCUUUUGCAGUUGUAUUCCCUUUUAUUUUAAUUUUUAAAUUUUUUUUUUUUUUUUAAGAACAUCACAAACAACUAUUUUAUUAUAUUAAAAUAGUAGGUACAAAGCAAGAUGAGAAAUCUUCCCAAUUAGUAUAAAACACCCUUAUGCAAUAUUUAUGAAAAUAGGUGUAUAGUGUCCAAAAAGAUCAAUUUAUCUUAUAGGCCAAACUGGUUUGGACAAUGCUCACUAUAGAUCCAUAAGGUAAAAAAAUCUCUUAUAGAAGAAACCGAAUGUCUUCCUCCAUGCUUUGCUAACACUCCCAGCACAAUUGCUUUAGCAAUGAACAGCAAUGAACCUAAUAAAAUGGCCAUAUCAUUUCUGAUCUAAUAUCAAUGAUUUGAAGUUAUGACCCCUCAAACUUCUAGGGUUCUCUUUUUUUUUUCCUUGGUCAUCCGUGAUAUUAGAAUGGUAGAAGCUACUUCUAAUAGGAGAUUGGAGAGGCCUAAAGCUUUUGCUUGCAAUAAACUCUCUAGAAAGGUUAGGAUCUUUGCCUCAAUGGCUAAACUCUGACUUGCAUAUAUAGAGAAUUCUCUUAUUAUUAUACCAAAGUGGUCAUUGAGUAACUCUCUAAUCCCCAACUCCCCUAGUUACCCAAAGAACCCCAUUAACAAUUAGCAUAUAACUUAUGCAGCACAUGCUACACUGAUGGAGCCUUUAGGAACUAUUUUCAUGUUUGUUAGGCUAAUUCAUCCUCAAUAUUAUGUCAAUGCCAACUUUUAGCUUGAGUUUGAAUUGCCUAUAUUAUGGAAAGAAAAUAAGAUAGGAAGAAACAUGAAAUUCUCUUGUUUGAUUUACUAUAAAAAAAUAUGAAGAAAAAUAAAAUAUAGUAGAAAUGACUUAAAACCGUUAUACGUUCAAAUUCUUUAGUUUUUCUAUGAUAGAAAAAUAAAUUUGAAGAAGCAAGUAACUUUAGUUCAAAUUCAUUUUAUUGGGUAAUCAUUGUUUUUAUUACCCAUCUCAAGUUGUUAAGUCUUUCAAGCCUUAAAACUGAUUAGAGGUGAUUGUGAUAUCCUACAUGGGAUAGGGAAAAAAGUUUAUGACAUUAUACAUGUAUACAUUUCUUUUAAUAAUAUAGACACAUUUAAAGUCACGAGGGAUCAAAAUGAACGAUAUCAAUAUAAAAUGAGAACAAUCUAUUACAAUUAUACUUGCAAUAACCUUAAAAAAUUUGGAUACAUAAAACUACAAUCAUGUUUUUGUUGGGAAAAACGGUGUAGUAAAUACUUUUUUGUUGUUAUAUUAUAAAAACCAUAAAUUUCUAAAUUUCCGUUUCCUUUUCAAUUCUUUAUAUGUUUAAAAUUUUCAUCCAAACCAAGAUCCAAGAAAAACUUAAAACAAAGAAAAAAUGAAAAAUUAAUUUAACAUGUAUAAUUUUUUAAUAAGAAUUUAUAAUUCAUAAUUCAAACGAUAUUGUGAAUUGUAGACACUGGAUUAUACUUAGAGAAUCAUUCAAAGAAUGACGGUCAUGUGAAUGACAUAGGAUACCCAUUGCGUGCAUGUGACAUCUACUUCAUUUAGAGUCAGUUUGACAAUUAUUCUAAAAAACGUUUUUAGUGUAAAACAUGUUUUUGAAAAAAAAAAUUAGAUGCUUGACAAAAUUUAUGAAACACUUUUAAGAAUCUAAAAAAUCACGUAUAGUGUUUUAUGAAGAAAAACUUAAUAAAAAGUGAUUAUCCUCAAAAUACUUUCAAAGAAUACUUUCAUUAAAAAUACUUUAAAUAAAAACACUACAAAACAUACCUUUGAUUCAUUAUAAAGUAAUUUUCAUAUUUUAUAUAAUUAGACCCAUGCGAUUUGUCCACUAUUCAUGAUGAAUUUCCCUAUUUUAUAUAAGAACCCAUGAGAUUUGUCCACUGUUCUCUUUUCCAACUCUUCCAACUUCUUAUCUAAUAUUUAAAAUUGAUAAAUAUGAAUCCCUUUACCCUAGAGAAUAGUUCUAAGUGAACAGCUUAGCUUAUUUCAGUUUUCAUCUAAAGCAUAAUAGGUAUUCAUUUUACAUUCUAAUUCAUCUCCAUUCUCAUCCUAUUCUUCUUAGUCGGACAUGCCAAACACAUCCUUAAGCCAAGGAUGAACUUAUCGGUUAUGACUAAUAUAUCGAUAAUUUAAUUUUAUGGAUGUAUUGAGAUACAUGGAGAAAUAUCGGUGGAUAUUUUGAUAUAAAAUAUAAGUAAGAUAAAUAGAUUAAAAUUCAUGAAAAUGUUAAAAGAAACUUUAAAAAUGAUAUAAUAAAUAACAAUAAAGAUUUUAAAGUUGGUAUACUAACGAAAAUGAUAUAUGUAUGAUAUAGUUUAUCAAAUUUGAUAAUAAUAUAUGUGUGUUAAUAAAAAAUUAUUAUUUUGAUAUGUCAAAUAUUAUUCGAGAAUAAUGUUGCAACUUUUGUUUAUAAUACAAGUAAUUUUAAAAUAUAAUUAAUAUUAAAAUUGUGAUCUAUUUAAUUCAAUUAUAUAUAUAUAUAUAAAAUUUCUUUAACAUUUAGUAAAUAUAUUAAUGAUAUAAAAAAAGCUCUGUGAAGAAAAUUGUCAUCAUAAUUUUUAUGCCUUUUGUAUUCAAUUAAAUGAAAACUUUCAUUUAAUUAUCAAAUGAUUAUAAUUAAUUAAUUUAUUAAAAUAUUCUUAUAAUAUUUAUUUUUAUAAUGGCUUUUAAUAUAUAUAUAUAUAUAAUUGGUCGUCUUUUGUCUAGAAUUCGAAUUUACCGUGUUGACCAUGUUUGAUCAAGAAUAUUACUCGAGUUUUGACCACAUUUGAUGAUUGAGAAUGUCAUCGAUGUUUCGUGAUUUUUUAAUCCUUACCUAAAACAUGACAUUUUAUUUCGUUUUUAUUCUCAUCCUAUUCUAAUUUCUAAUCUGACAUACCAAACACAUCUUACGGUCUUCAAAGGUUUUGUCCAAGGUCUAACUCCCAAAGAAUUGGUGUGGUGAUCAUUAUUUUUGUUAGCCAUCAAAAGUCGUUGGAUCUUUCAAGUCCAAGGGAAAAAAAAAUUAAGCAUUUUUUAAAUAAACAUACCAAUUUAAACAUUUUUUUAAUAUAUAUAUUUUGGUAGCUUUCGUAUCAUGAUGUUGACAUCGUUUAAAAUUGGGAAACUUGUGUUUUGGUCCUCUGAUAUAAAAAAUAUAUGCUUUUGGAAACUAAAAUAUAUGAAAUAUGAAAUCCAACUAUUAAUGGGAAAAAUGAUAUCGGAAACGUGCACUAUGUCCUGUUUACUUUUCCUCUUCCCAUAUUGCCCCUAAAUUUCCCCAUGUCAUUAGCAAGUCCUCUCCAUGUUAGCAGAAUAAUCUGAAACUUGAACUAAUUCUCAAAGUUGGAACAUAAAAAAACCCAACCCUAGAACCAAAAGUAUGGAAACUCGUCUACGUUACUGAACAAGGAAGUGUCAAAAUGUGCCUUUUAUUGUGCCUUUGCCUGAGACGACUUAGUAGGCGCUUGCCUUAUGCCCUAAAAAUGAAUAGAAAAGAAUUAAUGGCUUGGAUUGUGUACCAACAACCAAUCUCCAUAAAAGUCAUUUGCCUUGAGUUGGUAAGGGAACUUGCUGCAAUUCAAUCUAGGGUUAUCAUAGAUCAUCUAUUUUAGCUCUCAAUGUUGUUUCAGGUAACAUAUUUGAAUGAUAUUUUAUGAAUUUCAUUUAAUACAAUAUGUGUUCUAAAUGAUGCUUCUUUUUUUAUAAUUAGAGUUAAUCUCUAUUUACUUUUCUUAGAUUUUACCAACUGUAGUUAGAAUUCCUCCAGUUCAUCUUUUAAAGAAAAAACAACAUUCGGUUGAUUAUGGGUGUUGCAAUUUCUAUUGGAUGUGUGAGCAUCAUACUAAUAUGUGAAGUUUUUUACAUAAAAAGGAAAUCUUUAGAUGUUAAUGAGGAUGAAGGCACUUCUUUUGCUCAAUAUUACUAAAUUUAAGCUUCAGAUGUCAAUGAGAAUGUCAAUGGGCUUUUUUCUACAGAUGUCAUGGUAGCAUCUUUAGUUAGUAUUAUUUGCUGCCCAAUUAUAGAAGACCCAAGAAGCUGGAUGGGCUUGAGAUGCAUGGAGUGGUAGUUGAGUGAUUUAUCUUAAUGUUCUUGAUUCAACUUUUUGCCUGUAAUAUAGCAAUGACAUUUCCCUAAGAAUAAAGUCAUCUCCAAAGAAUCUUUGCACAAAUACACAAUGAUCAUAAGUUGUCUUGUUGUAUCCUUGCUUCUCCAUAAUUGACUCAAACUUCUUGUAUCAUUGCCUAGGUGCCUGUUUCAUGCCAUAAAGACUUUUCUUCAAUCUAUAAAAAUAAUCUUCUUGUCCUUUUACUUUGAAUCCCUUUGAAGGCUCCAUGUAUAUCUCUUUCUCCAAGUCACCAUGGAGGAAAGCAAUUUUCAUAUCCAUUUGUUUAAUCUCUAAGUCAAGACUAGCUGCAAGACCAAACACUACACAAAUGGAUGACAUUUUCACAAUUGGAACAAAGAUUUCUUCAAAGUCAAUGCCUUUCUUCUAGCUAAAUCCCUUGACAACUAGUCUAGCCUUGUAUCUUGGGUAUGAAGUGUGUUCUUCUUGCUUCACCCUGUACACCCAUUUGUUUUCCAAGGCUCAUUUUUCCUUUGUGCAGCUUCAUUAACUCAAAAGUGUGAUUAGCAUGCAAGGACUUCAUCUCAUCUUGUAUAGCCUCAAUCCACUCUCUCUUCUACUUACUCUCUAUAGUUUCUUCAAAGCUCUUAGGUUCUUCCCCAUCAAUGAAUAUGACAUACUCUUUUAGGGAGCAUCUUGUGGAAGACUGACGAUUCCUGGUAGACCGUCUAGAUGAGACUAUAGGAGUAGCUUGUGGUACUUGUGGCUAGUCAAUAACUUCAGAAUUUAUAACCUCUAUAGGUUCUAAAUCAUCACUUGCACCAUGUGGUCAUUUUGUGUCUCAACAUCAAGUUGAUUUGCCAUUGGUGUUAAAGAAAUUAUUUCCAAGUCAAUCAACUUGUCACUACUAUCAAAUUUUGCUUUCUCCACUUCAUCAAGGUCUAUUAUUGUCUAGUCUUCCAUAAAUACAAUGUCUCGACUUCUAAUCAACUUAUUCUCAACUGGAUUAUACAAUCUGAACCCAAAUUCAUUUUGGCCAUAACCCACAAAUACACACUAGCGUGUCUUCACAUCAAGCUUGGACCUUUCAUCUUUAGGAAUGUGCAUAAAGGCCUUACAUCCAAAGACUUGCAAAUGAUCAUAGGAAACAUCUUUGCCUAUCCAAACUCUAUCUAGCACAUCAAACAACAAAAGAAUAGAAGGUGAGAAAUUCAACACAUGAACCACUAUAUUUAAAGCCUCACCCUAGAAAGAUUUAGGCAACCUUGCUUGUGAAAGCAAACAUAUCACUCUCUCAACCAAUGUUCUAUACAUCCUUUUAGCCAAACCAUUCAAUUGCGGUAUCUGUUAGCCUAAGGGCUCCUAAUCGGGUUUUGAUGAUAACAAACCAUGGUUAAGUGACUAAUUGGUUUAAUGAUUAAGAAUCUUAGGCAUAAACUCGAAAAUUCAUCAAAUGACCAAAUGGAUACAAGAUCGAGACGCUUGGAAGACUUGUGAUCAUAGGAAACAAAUGUAAGAUGAAUGCAUGAGUGCACUUAGGAUUUUCACACGUUUCAUGCAACUUAGAAAACUCGGUUUAUUCUUUAAAACUUUGAUUUCAUUAAAACCCGAGUUUUUAACUAAUGUACCUUAGGCAAAAUGUUUUAUAAUUGGUUUAAUAAUUCACCUAUUGACCUUGCCUAAGUGUUAGAAAAGAAAGAAAAUAAAAAAAAUAGGUUUUCGAGGCCAAAAAGGCUCAACUGGUCGAGGCUAUGGCCAAUCGGCUCAACCGGUUAAGGAACCGCUCGACUGGUUGUGCUCGUCCGGUUGAGGGAUGCGAAAAACUUUCUCUCUCUCCCAGUGGCCUUCUCUUUCUAGUCGAAGUGAUUCUCUUCCCGAUCGAUGUCCGAUCGAGGAUCGGUCGAGGUUCGGUCGAGGCAACGGUAACCUAUCAAGCAUUAAAUUCUCCAACGGCUAGUGAACCAGUCGACCCCUAGCUCGACCGGACGAGGUUACCUUUUGCUGUUUUUGACUCCUGAGCUUAGAAACCUAUAAAUUGAGAGCUCCACUUCAUUUAUUGAUAAGAGAACACUUGCAUUCAAUAGUCUACCUACUUGUUCUUGAUCAAAAAGUUCUCAUUUCUUUCAUAGUGCAUUAAAUCACCACUUGCAUAUCCUUUAGUGCACUCUUGUGUGUCAUCCUAGCUUUGUCUUAUAUUUAAGCUAUCCUUAAGCUAGGUUGAGGGAUUAUUUCUUGUAAAAAUCUGGGUGUUAAAGCCUUCAAGAGGUUUGAAUCUUGAAGAGAUUGUGUAAGAGCCCAUUGAAGCCGGAAUCCAAGUGUAAGAAGAUUGGAAGCUUGGUUGAAGCUUCAAGUUAGUGGAACCCACACUUAGUUAGGAGAUUGAGGAGAGUGGAUGUAGGCAAGGAAGUGCCGAACCACUAUAAACUCGAGUUUGAAUUCUCUAGCUCUAUCUUUUUAUUUUGCUUAUAUUGUGUUUGAAUUUGUUGUGAUUGAAAAGUUUUUAAAAACCCAAUUCACUCCCCCCCCCCCCUCCCCCCUCUCCCCUCUCCCUUUUGGGUGCUUUUCUUAAUUAAGCAUAGCCUUUGUUUUCUCAAUUGGAAUUAGAGCUAGACCUCUUGUUUUUUAAAGACUUAAUCAUCUAAGAGGAAAUGGCUAUUCCAUCAAGCUCAUCCCAAGCUGAAAAUUUUUCAAAACAUAGAGCUCCAUUCUUUACGGGAACCGACUAUCCCUAUUGGAAAACUAGAAUGACUUGGUAUUUGCAAUCUACAAAUUUAGAUGUAUGGGAUGUCAUUGAAGAUGACCCAACUUUUCCCACUAAAUUAGUUGAUGGAGUUUUGGUUCCAAAACCCGAGUAAGAAUGGAAUGAGCUUGAUAGAAGAAACUUUCAAUUAAAUGUUAAAGCCGUUUUUACUUUGCAAUGUGCUAUGGAGGUUGCUUGAAAUAACUCAUGAAGGAACUAAUCAAGUGAAAGAGUCAAAAAUUAAUUUACUUGUUCAUAAGUAUGAAUUGUUUUUAAUGAAAGAAAAUGAGACUACUAUUGAGAUGAUUACUAGGUUCACUGACAUUGUCAAUGGUCUUGAAACUUUUGGAAAAACCUGCAAGGAAUCCGAGAAGGUGAUGAAGAUAUUGAGGUCUCUCCCAUCAAAGUGGCAUACCAAGGUCACCACAAUUCAAGAAGCAAAAGAUUUGACUAAGCUACCUAUGAAAGAGCUCAUAGGGUCAUUAAUGACAUAUGAGAUCAAUUUGACAAAUAAGCUACAAGAGGGUGAAGAUAAAAAGAAGAAGAUCAUAGCCCUCAAAGCUACAACCAAGGAAGAAGAAGAUGUUGAAGAAGAAAAACCAAGUGAUGAAGAUGAUGAUUUAGCCCUCAUCACAAGAAACCUCAACAAAUACAUGAGAUGUGAAAGGUUUCGAGGAAGGAAGUUCACCUCUAAAAGAGAUCCUCCUAAAAAGGAAUCAUCCCAUGGUGAAAAGGAGAAAUGAGAAGAGAAAAGAGAUUUGAUAUGCUUCAAGUGCAAAAAACCGGGACACAUUAAAUAUGAUUGUCCUCUAUACAAAAGUGAAGCCAAGAGAAGAAUGAAAAAGGCAAUGAUGGCCACUUGGAGUGAAAGUGAAGAAUCCUCCGAAGAAGAAAAGGAGAAGGAAGUGGCAAACAUGUGCUUCAUGGCAAUAGAUGAUCUUGAUGAGGUAAACUCUAAUUUUAUUGAUGAAGAUAUGCAUGAUGUUUUUGAAGAAUUAUAUGAGGAUUUUGAAAAACUUAGUUUGAAAAAUAAUUCUCUUAAAAAGAAGAUUCAAGAACUUGAAGAAGUCAAAGAAAAAAUUUCAAUUAUUGAAAUAUCUAAAACUCAUCUUGAAAAAGAAAAUGAGAUUUUGAGAAGUGAAAAUGAGAUUUUGAAAAAGAAAAAUGAAUGGUUGACCUCAUUUCUUUCAAUUUUCUCUUGUGGACAAAAAUAUUUUGAAAUGAUCUUAGCUAGCCAAAAAUGUGUCUUUGAUAAACAAGGGUUAGGAUUCAAAUCUUCAAAAAAUCAAAAGUAUUUUAAAAACUACUUUGUAAAAGAAUCCACAAGUGCAAGUCCUUCUACCAUUUGCAACUUUUGUGGAAGAGGAUGACACAUUAGUAGUACAUGUCCCCUAAGAAAUGGUUCUUAAAAGAAUUCAAAUGCCAAGCUAAAAAGGUUUGGGUUGAAAAAUCCAAAAUCACUAACCCUCAAGGACCCAAAAAAAUAUGGGUACCUAAAUCAAUUUAAAUUUUGUUUUGUAGGGUUUAAAAAAGGAUAAAUGGUUCUUGGAUAGUGGAUGCUCAAGACACAUGACCGGGGAUGAAUCCAAGUUUGCCUUCCUUACAAAGAGAAAGGGAGGAUACGUUACCUUUGGAGACAAUGCAAAAGGAAGGAUCAUUGGUCAAGGUAACAUUGGUAAUGGCACAUCCUCUCUUAUUGAAAGUGUUUUAUUAGUGGAUGGUUUAAAACAUAAUCUCUUGAGCAUAAGUCAACUUUGUGACAUAGGUUUUAAAGUGAUUUUUGAAGCAUCUCAUUGCAUCAUCAAAGAUAUUCAAAAUGAUAAAACCAUCUUCAUGGGCCAUAGGUGUGACAAUGUUUAUGCUAUAAAUAUUUCAAAAUAUGAUGGCCAUGAUAGAUGCUUUUCAAGCAUGCAUGAUCAAAGUUGGUUGUGACAUAGGAGGUUGGGACAUGCUAACAUGGACUUCAUUUCCCAACUCAACAAAGAUGAACUUGUUAGAGGCCUUCCCAAAAUAAAUUUUCAAAAAUACAAAGCUUGUGAAUCUUGUCAAAUGGGAAAGCAAAUAAAAAACUCUUUUAAAAACAAAAAUUUCAUUUCAACAUCUAGGCCUUUUGAAUUGUUGCAUAUGGAUUUAUUUGGUCCCUCUAGGACACCAAGCCUUGGAGGAAAAUCUUAUGCUUUUGUUAUUGUGGAUGACUUCUCUAGAUACACUUGGGUUUUAUUUUUAAGUCAAAAGAAUGAAGCCUUUUAUGAGUUUUCAAAGUUUUGCAACAAGGUUCAAAAUGAAAAAUGUUUUACAAUUACUUGUAUAAGAAGUGAUCAUAGGAGAGAAUUUGAAAAUAUUGAUUUUGAAGACUAUUGCAAUGAGCAUGGUAUUAACCAUAAUUUUUCGGCUCUUAGAACUCUUCAACAAAAUAGGGUAGUUGAAAGGAAAAAUAGAACUCUUCAAGAGAUGGCUAGAACCAUGCUUAAUGAAAACAAUUUACCAAAAUACUUUUGGGCCGAAGCGGUUAACACUUCUUGUUAUGUUUUAAAUAGAAUUUUAUUAAGGCCUAUUCUUAAGAAAACUCCCUAUGAGCUUUGGAAAAACAAAAAACCCAACAUUAGCUAUUUCAAAGUCUUUAGGUGCAAAUGCUUUAUAUUAAACACCAAAGACAAUCUUGGAAAAUUUGAUGCAAAAUCGGAUGUUGGAAUUUUUCUUGGUUACUCAACUUCAAAUAAAGCCUUUAGAGUUUUUAACAAAAGAACCAUGGUUGUUGAGGGGUCCAUCCAUGUUAUUUUUUUAUGAAUCUAACAAUUCUCUCCAAAAAAAGAGAGAGCUUUGAUGAUGAUUUAGGCUUGGAGACCUCCAUGGGAAAAUUACAAAUUGAAGAUAGAAGGCAACAAGAAGGAAUUGUUGAGGAUCCCAAGAAAGAAGAAUCACCUUUAGCACUACCCCAUCCUCAACAAGUGCAAGGUGAAUCAAGCCAAGACCUUCCUAAAGAUUGGAAGUUUGUCAUUAACCACCCACAAGAUCAAAUUAUAGCUAAUCCAUCUAGUGGGGUAAGAACUAGAUCAUCUCUUAGAAAUAUUUGCAAUAAUCUUGCUUUUAUCUCUCAAAUUGAAUAUAAAAAUAUAAAAGAUGCUCUAGUUGAUGAAAAUUGGAUGAUUGCUAUGCAAGAAGAGUUAAACCAAUUUGAAAGAAGUGAAGUAUGGGAAUUAGUGUCAAGACCUCAAAAUCAAAGUGUUAUUGGAACUAGAUGGGUCUUUAGAAAUAAAAUGGAUGAAAUGGCAUAAUUAUAAGGAAUAAAACAAGAUUGGUAGCCCAAGGUUUUAAUAAAGAAGAAGGGAUAGAUUAUGAAGAAACCUUUGCUCCCGUAGCUAGAUUGGAAGCCAUUAGGAUGCUACUUGCCUUUGCAUGUUUUAAAGACUUUGUUUUAUAUCAAAUGGAUGUGAAAAGUGUUUUCUUAAAUGGCUUUAUAAAUGAAGAGGUAUAUGUUGAACAACCACCCGGCUUUCAAAGUUUUAACUUUCCUAAUCAUGUCUUUAAACUUAAAAAGAUACUUUAUGGUUUGAAACAAGCACCUAGAGCAUGGUAUGAAAGAUUGAGUAAAUUUCUUAUGAAAAAGGAUUUUAAAAUGGAAAAAAUUGAUACAACUCUUUUCAUAAAAACCAAAUAAAAUGACAUGCUCUUAGUGCAAAUAUACGUUGAUGAUAUCAUUUUUGGAGCUACUAAUGUCUCUCUUUGUGAAGAAUUUUCUAAAUGCAUGCAUAGUGAGUUCGAAAUGAGCAUGAUGGGAGAACUUAACUUCUUCCUUAGACUUCAUAUCAAGCAACUAAAGGAAGGAACCUUCAUCAAUCAAGCAAAGUAUAUAAGAGAUCUCCUCAAAAGGUUCAAUAUGGAGGAAGCCAAAACAAUGAAGACUCCAAUGAGUUCAUCCAUCAAGCUUGACAUGGAUGAGAAAGGUAAGUCCCUCAACUCAACUAUGUAUAGAGGCAUGAUAGGUUCUUUGCUAUAUUUGACUGCUAGUAGACCCGACAUCAUGUAUAGUGUAUGCUUAUGUGCUAGAUUUCAAUCUUGUCCUAAAGAAUCCCACUUAAGUGUUGUAAAACGAAUCCUUAGAUACUUGAAACGGACAAUGGACAUAGGUUUGUGGUAUCCUAAGAGUGAUAACUUUGAAUUAAUUGGAUUCUCGGAUACCGACUUUGCCGGUUGUAAAGUUGAAAGGAAAAGCACUAGUGACACUUGUCAUUUCCUAGGACACUCACUUGUUUCAUGGUAUAGUAAGAAAUGAAUUUUGGUAGCUUUAUCAACGGCGGAAGCCGAAUACAUAGCAGCCGGUUUAUGUUGUGCACAAAUUCUUUGGAUGAAACAAACACUUAGUGAUUUCAAUUUGAUUUUUGAGCAUGUUCCUAUUAAAUGUGAUAACACUAGUGCCAUAAACAUUUCAAAAAAUUCAGUGCAACACUCUAGGACUAAGAAUAUAGAGAUAAGACACCAUUUUCUUAGAGACCAUACACAAAAGGGUGACAUUACACUUGAAUUUGUAAGCACAAAAGAUCAACUUACUGAUAUUUUUACAAAACCUCUAAGUGAAAAACAAUUUGUUGAUAUUAGAAGACAACUAGGGGUGAUUUCUUUAUGAUCAAAUGAUUGCUUGAUGAAUUCUUGAUUGAAUAUACCUUAUGAUUACGUGAAUUUCAUAUCAUAUAGAAAUAAUCUUAGGAAAAAGGUCAAAUUUUGACCAAAAAUCAAAAUUCCCUUGGCAUUGGACAUAAAAAAUUGGGGAUUUCAAUUGAAAAGGGUAGGGGGAGGAUCACAAGACAAGAAAAUACCAAAAAAUUGGAGCAUUGACCGUUGACCAUUGACCAAGCGGUUCGUCGAGGUUGGGAAUUUAAAAAGGCCCCCUGCGCUUCAUUUUUCACAUGUUAUCCUCCAUACCUUGAAGACUCUUCACAUCCAUGCUUCUAGAAGUCAAUUUUGGCAAGAUCUUGGACUGUUUGCAGGCUUUGGAGUGGAUUUUGAGACGUUUUGAGGCUAGGGUUUUGAUUUGAAACCCAGAGUUUCAGUUUUUGGGGGUGAUUUCUCUCUAUACCACGAACCUCAGGCUUGGUUCAACUUCUUCUCCGUGCGCCUAGGGCUUUAGGUUGGUGUUUUCUCUCUCUUGUUUGAUUUCCUUCUCCUUUUGGACUUCUCCUUCUCCCUAUUCCAUUCGUUGGAUGGCUCCUAGGCGAGAGACGGGCACCUCUAGGGCUCAAGGCAAGCGCCCUACUGAGCCAUCUCAGCCUGAGCAGACGGAGGCUCACCGAAAGGCGAGGUAUGAUACGACCCUCUUCAGUUCCGUUGAAGAUCUUAAUUAAGCAUAGCCUUUGUUUUCUCAGUAUCUUUGGAGGAGUCUUUUGAUGGCGGAUACCUUGCUAUUUGUGGUACUCAUCAAAUGACCUUGAAUAUUCUCCUCUAUUAUCAGUUCAGAUACAUUUAAGUUUUCUUCUAGUUUAUCUCUCAAUUGAAGCCUGAAAUUACUUGAACACACCCGAUACCUUAUCUUUAUGCUCAAUGUGUAUGCACAAAUCUUCUUUGAAUGAUCAUCAAUAAAAGUCACGAAGUAUAGUGAACCACCAAGGGUUUUUACCUUCAUUGGACCAUAUAAACUAGAAUGGACUAAGUCAAGCAAAUUCUCAUUUCUUGAAGAAGAAGGGCGUGUCUUGAACGCAACUCUAUUUUGCUUUCCUACCAAGCAAUGAGCACACUUUUGUAGACAUGUGUUUGUCAUCCCAAACAAGUGAUUUUUUCGGAAUAGUACCAUCAUUCAUUUCUCACCCAUGUGACCGAGUCUCUAGUACCACAACUCAAUUGUAUCCACAUUUUCAAUAGCAUGAAUGACAUCUUUAGAAAGUCCAACUUGCAUUAUGUACAAAUUAUGAUUCCUUUUACAUCUUGUUAUGACCAAAGAACCCUUAGUAAGCUUCCAUUGACCAUUACCAAGACCACUAUAGUAGCCACCAUCAUCAAGCUUGCUAGUAGAGGUAAGGUUCAACCAAAUGUCUGGAACAUGCUUUACACCUUUGAAAAGCAGUUUCAUACCAUUACGGGUUUCUAAUAAAAAAUUACCUAUGUCAAUAACCUUAGCCACACCAUUGUUGCCCAUCCUUACAACUCCAAAGUCAGAUGUGUAAAAAUCCCUACAAAAUGUAACAUGAAUAGUAGCACCACUAUCAAUUACCCAACUAGUCUCAUCAAAUGCUGAAUUGAUCAUAUCAUCAUCAUACAUUAGUAAAAAGUCUUCUAUAGUGGUGGCAACUCAAUCUUCAUCACUGCUCUUAUUGCCUUUUUCUUUCCUGUUGUUCUUCUUAUUUUCUUUCUUCAACUUUCUACAAUGUUUCUUGAUAUUCCCCUUCUUACCACAAUGGUAACACUCAACAUUAGCAAAUUUGCCUUUGGACUUAUUUCUACUACUUUCCCUGUUUUUCGGAAUCCUACUCUUGUUUCCCCCUCAUGGCUCAGUAACUAUCAUAUCUGACUAUGAGGAGGAACGAUGUGACUUUUUUCUCAUCUUUUCAUUUAGAACAUUGCUCUUAGCAAUUUCCAUUGUAAUCUCACCAUCUAGAGUUGAAUUAGACAAUGACAUUUUAAAUGUCUCCCAAUAAUCUGACAAAGUGCCCAAAAGCCAUAAACCCUAUACCUCUUCAUCAAAUUUUACCCCCAUUACAUCCAACUAAUUUAUCAAACCUUGGAAUGAAUUCAAGUUAUUGGUCAUAGGAGUAUCCUCACGAUAUCUCAAAAGAAUAAAAUAUUUCAUCAAAUACAUUUUGUUGUUUCUGGUCUUUUGAGCAUACAACUUUUCAAGUUUGAUCCACAAUGUACAUGCAUUCUUCUCACCACUAACAUGGUUUAACACACUGUCAUCUACCCAUUGUCGAAUAUACCAACACACCUGCCUAUAAAGUAAUGUACAUUCCUCAUCAGUUUUGCCAGUGGGUUUUCCUUGGACAAACAUAGGGUGAUGGUAACCCUUCUCAUAUAAUAAAUCCUCCAUUUUAUCCUUUCACAAGGCAUAAUUUGAGCCAUUUAAGCUUACCAUUCUGUUUGCACUAACAUCCAUUCUUCAACACAACACAGGCAGCCAAAGCUCUAAUACCACUUUGUUGGGAGAAAGUUGAACACAGUAUCACAAUUAAAAUCAACCAUGCAUGCACUGGAAUUUUAAUGUGGAAAACAUCUUCAAUGUGAGAAGUAAAAACCACAGGACCAGAGUCCACUCAGAAAGGGUUCACUAUCAACCUAAGUGAGAGUACACAAUUUGUCCCAACAUUAAUUGGGGACUAUCAAUAGCAACAACCAUCAAGAAAAAUCUUAGCUUCACAAGCAUAAACACCAAAUAUUAAAAGAAUAAUAGAAAAAGAUCACAAAUUUGGUGUUCUGUCCGAAUAUACUAAUCUGUCCUGAAAACUCCAAUCAACGAUCCAAUCGUUAAAAUUUAAUUACCAUAAGUUUUGAACCUCCUAUUAAAAUUUCACUUCAAUCAGACCAAAGAUCAAAGAAAUACCACUCUUUGAUGAAGACUGCAUAGAACCGAGAUUUUCUCCUCUCAUUUUCUGUCCUGUUUUAUUUGAAUGAUUAUAUAUUAUAGUCAACUACUCUGAUCGACGAGCGAACCGACCAGAAUUAAGAGACAUAAGAGACGAAGAUACUAUACAAAUUUCAACACGAUCCAACGGUGUAAAAUAGAGAUCAAGAAGAUUGAUUAAAAUUGCUCUAAAAUGAUUCUAUUUAUGACCAACUCUGUUUAGGCGGCUAUAGAGUGAAAUAGAAAAGUUCAACUAGAAUAAGGAGUUGCUUGUGAUAAACCAACUGACCAAGUUUCAGUUUAAACAAGCCUUAGACCAUCAAGAUCUAUUACUUGGAUGAAAAUAGCUCUUUCACCUCUUCAAUUUCUUAUUAUUUUUUUUUCUCUCUCAAAAUCAUCAGUUGCACUCUUCUCACUGUAUAUUUCAAGAAGUGAAUCUUUUUUGGGGUUUUCAAAAAAACCUUACACCGAAAGACAAAAAUGCCCAUAUAAUAUGGGAUUUGUUGGGUUUGACAUAUAUGGGUCAUCCUCCACAUGAGAGGGAAACCCAACCCAACAAUAGUUUAGUACCUCCUAAUUGGAAGGAUGACUUGUUUUUGUCAUCACGAUGAGUUUUCCAUGGUGAGUGCACUAAUGUAUAUGGUUACACAUUGGACAGGACCUAUGAUGAGUCAUGAUAUUGGCUAUCAAGUAGUCAUCAUCUUAUAAAGCUACUAUAUUGUAUGAGCUCUCAACCUUGAGAAGAUAUUAAGCUAGUAGUAAAAUUUUUAAUGACUUUAACAUAUAGGUAAGAUCCUAAAGUGGUAAUAUAUUCCCUAUGGAUUGAGAUAUUAUUGAUAGAGGUUGGUGAUAACAUGUAUACUCAAGAUAGACACCAUGAUAUCUCCUAGGUUUUAGAUAAUAUAUCCAUUUGAGUGAUCCUAAGGACAUGUGAUUAGGAAAUCCGUGGUCAUAGUAAUUCUUUAAUUGGAAUUUGACAUAUGCUUCUUAUGAAAUAAAGUAUGUCGAUUUAUCACAUAAGAAGAGGAUUAGAGACUCAAGGACUCUAAAGGAAAUUUUAUAAGGUAGAUAACAUUCACUUUAUUAGACUACGAUCAAUAGCUUAUGAGAAGUUUGCAUAUAGUAGACAAUGGAUCAUAGACUAGAGGUUUGUAUCUCAUAGUUAUAAUAUCAUACGAUAAUGGAGUAUAGUUAACUCUAUGUAGUAGGAUAUUAAGUCAAUUUUAGAAUUGAAAUAUGAGGUAGCCAGUAUUUUCUUAUGAGUCUUAGUGGUCCUCACUUAAAAUCAUAUUCCAUGGUGGCAUGAUUUUUUUAAGAGAUUAUGAGUUUUAUAUUCAUAUGUAUGCAUACAGACAUUUUGGUAGACACGAAACGUUGCACAAGAGUUUAUGAAUGUUUUUGGGUUGAGUUAAUUAAUUAAUUAGAACCCAAUUAAGUUAGUUAAUUAGGACUCAUUGGGCUAAAUUAAGUGACCCAACUCAAUUCACUUAAACUUAGAAGUAAUUCUAUAUAAACCUCCUUAAGUUUUAGGGCUUAUAUUUUGAUUCAUUCUAUCUUUCAGAAUGAGAGAAUCCCAUUCUUCAUUCCCAAGUGAGAAUUCCAUCAUUUUUAAGUGACAAGGUCUAGGAAAGAGCUAUUGGGUGGAAGAUCAUGAGGUUUUCGAGAUCCAUACCAUCAUUUUCUUUGAUUGGAACUAAUCUAGGCACAUCUAUUAGUUUAUUGGCCAUUGAAUCAACAAAGGACUAUAAUGCAAAAUUGUUUCAUGCAGUACCUUAAAAUAAUUAUGAAGGGCUGUAAAAAAAUUGAACCAAUGGUUGUUACUUUCUACAAACAAUAUAAGGCGUAAAAACCUAAAGCUUAGUUGAUUUUGUGAGAGCCAACUAGUCCAAAAGAUCAGUUAUAGCGGAAUAGAACUCUUGAAUACUCAUGUUCUUAUGUUCAAGAGCUCAAAUAUCAAUCUUUAAAUAAUAUUGAUUUGCAAAUGUUGCUAGAUCUUGUUGACAAAUUCAUACUUUGCCAACUACGUACUUAUCAAAUUCUCAAUAAAUUUGUUGAUCCAAUUGAUAAUUUUUGAAUUGUUUACUGCUCAAAUGUUUAACUGUUCUAUAUAUUUUUCAUCAUCUCCAUUUCUAGGUUUGUGUAGAGUUAACCCCACAUCUUUUUUACCUUUGAAAAAUUUCCCAUUGCAUAACUCCAAUGUUAGGAUAGAGCCCUUAAAAGCAUAGUAUGAUAUAACAAAUUCAAAUUUAUUAUUCAUUUAAUAAAAUUUUAGUUUCCUAUUUCUAUCUAUCUUAUUACAUGCAUUAUAACUUAUAACCAUUUUAGCCUAACAUUUUUUGCAUUGUACAUACUUUGGGUGCAUUAGGAGUUACACAGAAGAUCCAAGUCAUGAGUUGCUUGCAAGUAGAUGAUUUGUUCACAACUAGUUCAUAGAAUUAGGUAAUUCAUUGAAAGUUGUAGUACACUACCUACUAAUGGAAUGGAUGACUAGUCUUGGUCAUUUGGGAUGAGUUUCCCAUGUUAAGUCCAUUAGUUUGUACAAUUCAACAUUAAAUAAGGCCCAUAGUGAGUUAUGAUGUAAAGUUAUUGAGUAGUCAUGACCUCACCAAGCUGCUAUACUAUAUGGUCUUUUAACCUCGAGAGAAUAUUUAGUUUGUGCCAAAGUUUAUAAUAGCUUUGACCUAUAAGUGAGAUCCUAAGAUGGUCAUAUAUUCCCUAUAAAUUAGGUCAUUAUUGAUGGAGGCUAGUGACGGCCGGUAUUCUCAAUAGAGAUACCAUGAUAUCUUAUGGAGAUUGAGACAAUAUGUCCCAUUAGGUGAGCCUAAGGAAGUCUUGAUAAGGAAAUUAAUGGUCAUAAUAGUUUUUUAAAUUAGAACUUGACAUAUGCUCUUUAUGAGAUAAGAUAUGUCACUUCAUCUCAAAAUAAGAGAAUCUGAGACUCAAGAAUCAUAAAGGUAAUCUUGAAAGGUUGAUAACAUUCAUCUUGUUAGAUUAUGGACACUAUUUCAUGGGGAACUUGCAUACAAUGGAUAGUAGGUGUUAAUGGAAACCCUAGAUUUCUUCGUUCGUAAACCCUAGAUCGUAUAGGUAUAUGCAAAUCUACCUAGGCUUCUCUAGAAACUAACAUAAGUGGAAACAUGGCUUUUAAAAACCAUUUAGAUUAAUAAAACUAGAGAAGAAUGAAUUAUACCUAGAUUUAGAUGUUCCUAGAUCAAUUCAUUGCGAUGAAGAUGUUUCAAUGUUCUAGAGGUCUUGUACACCCAAAGUCUUCUGUCUAAUUACUCAAUCCAUGACCUUGGCACUCUAAAGAGUGGACUUUGAAAAAGAGAUGCCUUGGCUCUCUCUCUUUCUCUCUAUUUCUCUCUGGAAGUGGAAGACGACAAGCAAAAGCCUUAGAAACCCUAACCCCUAAGGGGAUAUGUAUAGGGUUCCCCUACUAGGCUUAAGUGACUUGAGCCUACCAAGGAUUAGGUCACUUAAUCUAGCCCAAAAUAGAUCUUGAUUUAUUAAUCAACCACACAGGGUCAUCUAAUUAAUCAAUUAGCUCAAUGAAGAGAACUUGUUCUCUAUUCCCCUAUGCAACCUUGCGUGAUUGCUAAAACACCUUUAUACACAUCUAAUCCUUAGAAAUCGUGUCAUCAUGGUAUAUGAGCUCAAAGUGAGGACUACUGGGACAAAUAGGCAUACUAACUCUCUCAAAAUCGAAUUCCAAAGUUGAUUCACUAUCCCACUAUAGAAAAUCAAUUGCACUCCAGUACCUUAUGUAGAUAACAAUAAGAUGAAGUUUGGGUCUGUGACCUACUAUCUACUACAUGCAAUCUCUUCAUGAAUUGGUGUCCAUAAUCUAACAAGGUGGUGUUAUCACAUAAUGUAUGAUAAGAAAUAUGAAUUUGUUACAUUAGAUAAUAACAUAAUGUAUCCUGGUAGGAAAUAUGAAUUUUAAAAAUGCAUCCUCUAUAUUAAGGUAAAGUUAAUUUUUUUAAACAUAAAAUAAUAUAUUUAUAACAAAGUUAGUAAUAUGGAUGAGAUAUAAAUUAGUAUUGGUAUCAAGUAUUUCAAUAUGUAAACCUAAAACAUAUUACAUUUAUAAUAUUAUUGAAAUUUUACCCAUAAUAUAUCUUUAUUAAAAAAGUCAAUCUAAAAUUUUUCAAAUUUUUAUUACUCAACUAUAUCCAUAUAAUUUUCUAUUAGAAUCAUCUAAAAUUUCUUUAAUAUCUUUAUAUUCAUUUACUUGAAAAAUGAAAAAUAACCAAUAAAAUUGUUCAUUUUAUUAAGAUAUUUUUAUUAAAUUUUGUUAAAAAAAAAAUAAAUCAUUCAAAAUUUUAAAUAAGAUUUCAUGUGAAAUAUUUUAUUUGAAAGUUUAUUUGGUUUCAUUAACAAAUUUAUUUGAUAUUUUUUUUAUUGUAAAUAUAUUAAAUUAUUAAAAUUAUAGUAUUUGUCCUAUAAAAUUAGGGUUGCAAUUUGGACGAGCUAACCCAAACCAACAUAAAACCAACCCAAUGUUUGGGCGGGCUUGGGCACCAUUUUUUGUAACUUGGGUUGGGCUUGGAUUCAUUUUUAUCAACCCAAAUUAAAUUCGGGUUGGGCUUGGUCAGAUGACUUGGGCAACCCAAACUAACCCGAACCUGACUAUAUAUAUAACUUUAAGAAAAUAAUACAUUGGUUCUUUCCAUUCUAUUCUUUGAUAGAGAAAAAACCUUCAAGCCCUAGUCCAAGGUUCUUCCAUUAUUCGAUAUUGUUCAAAUCCUCAAGCCCUAGUUCAAGAUUCUUUCAUUUUUUGAUGUUGUUGUCUCCAUUCAAGGUCAUCUGACAGAAAGCAAAAACCAUCAGGCCUUAGGUUAAGAUUCUUCAUCAUCAUAUAAUGUUACAAUCGUCGUUCAAUACCACUGUUGUUCACAUUAUAUUACUAGGUUUUUGAUUGCCAACAAUUUAGUUAAUAAAUCAUGGAAAUAAUGGAAAAGGUUGAUUUGAAAAUAAUUCUAAGAUAUCCCUUUUUGGUUUUAAAUUUAUCUUCCUUGAGUGAUGAAUAAAGAGGACAAGGCAAGUUAUUUAAGGCAAUGGUGAAGCCCUUAUCCUUUAUAUGGAAGAAGUGUAGAAUUGUUACCUAUACAUAAAUUAUAUUAUAAUGGUCUACUGUAAUAUGCUUGGCUUAGCAUCCCUCAUCAGGGGCAUGCCAUGGGAGAAAAGUCUUCCUUUUGUAAAAGAAGGGUUGUGCAAUAAAUGAAUGUUGUGUGUUUGCUUUUUGAACUAAUUUUUAUUGGCCUAACUCAACCCAACUUAGCCAUCACAUAAUCAACUCGAGCUCAACCUAUGUUAAAUAAUUUCAAUUCGAGUUGAGUGCAUAAGAUUGGAAGUCGAGUUAGGUGAUCCUUUGGGUUGAUGUAUUUCAAGGUAAGAUUGAGCUUGGGUUGGCCAACUUGCCGAGUUGCAACCCCAUAUAAAAUUAAUUUUUCUUUAACAUUUAUAUUUUAUGAAAUAUUAAAAAUUAUAUAUUUUAUUAAUUGUUUUCCAAAAAUCGCAAUUUUGGUGAUUUAGGUCUUGUUUGGUAAUUGUUUUUGAAAACAUUUUUGAAAAAAUAGUUUUUAAGAACAGUUUUUGAAAACUGUUCUCUGAUGUUUUUUAGAACAAAAGUCUAUUUGGGAACCUAAAAUUAUUUUUAAUAUUUUUAAAUACGUUUUAAAAAUAAUUUUUAUAUCCAUAACUUUAUUUUUAUUAAUCAUUAUAUAUAUAUUUGUAUAAUUAUUCUUUAAAAUAACUCUCAAAAAAUAAGUGAAAACAACUUAAAACAAUUAAAAUAUAUUAUUUGAAAACACCCUGUUUUCUAUUUUUUAAUAAUAUAAAACAGAAAACAGUUUUUAAUUGUUAAACGUGUUUUUAAGUUUUUUUUUUCUAAAAAACAAAAAACUGUUUUUGAAAACAGUUUCCAAACAUAGCAUUAAUGCAAAGCCAGCCAAUUUUUUGUGCUGCCAACCAUACUGGAAACCCAUCUUGUUGGCCACCCAGAGGAGCUCAGUUUUUUUUAUUUUUAUUUGUUAGAGGAGUGGGGGACGAUUUCUAUGAACGAGCUACAUGGGACAUGUGGAAAAAAAAAAAAAAAGAUGGCCACCUUGCCAUGGUGGUGGUUGAAGAUGGAGACUUGCUAAGCGGUGAACAGUGGAACGAGUAGAAGCUUAUAAGAGAAAAAAAAAAACAGAGCAAAGGGACUGGGAGGGUUGAGUUGUGGGUGAGCUGAUUCAAGAGGAAGGAAAAAAAAUGAAGCUGAAACAAAGGGAGGUUUUUAAGAGAAAGUGAAAACAACGAGUUAAUUUGGAAACAACUAGGAUGAGAGUUGUAGGUCGGCUGAUUAGAGGAGGUUUUCAGCAAGAGCUAAAGAAGAGGACCUUUAAACUCUACCGGAAAAGUUCUCUCGUCUCACCGGUGACUACGGAUCUGGAAAACUAAAAUGCGCAGGUGGUGGCGUUGCUCCCCCUACUAUACUUACGGAUUUUAAGCUCAAUGGCUACGGAAACCUCGAUUUCUACAACGUGUGCUUGGUUGACGGGUAAAACCUUCCUUUGAUGGUGGUGCCACAGGAUGGCACCGGGGGGAACUGUACCAAAAUCGGGUGCUGCUCUAGACUUGGGAAAUGAACAGGUUUGUUCGUUUGUCUCGUUACAACUUCUUUCUGAAUCUUUCUUUGAUUAAGACAAGUAUGUUUUUCCAAGUUUUGGUUUUUGCUCUCAAAAAGGGUCUUUUUGAUGAUUCUACUGUUUUUUUUAGGAGUUGAAAUGGGUUUUUGAUGAAUUCAAGUGGGCGUCUUUUGUUUGUUAAUGGAACGGUUUUGUUUUUGGUGGUCAAAACAUUUUUUUUUUAUAAUGAUUUUGUAGUCAUUUUAAGGAGCUGUGAAAUGGGUGUUUGAUGAAUUCAACUGGGUUUCUUUUACUUGAUGAAAUGCCACCAUCCGUGGGGUUUGGUUAUGUAAACAUGAAUUUUUUUUUUUUUUUUAUGAUUUUGAAAGUGAUUUUAAGGAGCUGUGAAACGGGUAUUUGAUGUGUUGAACUGGGUCUAUCCUAUUUGCUAAUGGAAUAGGUUUUAGUUUCUGAACUUGGAACAUGAAUUUUUUUAUUUUUUAUAUGAUUCCGUGUAUAUUUUGAUGAGCUUGACAUUUUGUAUGAUGAAUUGAACUCAGUUUUGACUAAAUGGGAUAGGUCUUGGAUUAUGGUUCAUGGUUUAUUUUGAUGAUUUAUUGAACCGGAUUUCCUCUGUUUUGGGACCCACUCCACUCCUGCAUGGCCAUUUUUGACAUGCAAUUCCAUCGAACACGUGUCAUCCUCUUUGAUUUUUCAUCCUCAUAUGUUAAAAUAUGAUUUUCAAAACUCCAAUUUUCACGUUUAAUUUUUAAAACUUUAAUUUUUAAAAUUCCAUUUUUUUUUAAUUUAAUCUUCAAAACUCUAAUUUUCAAAUAAUCUUCAAAGUUCCAAUCAUCGAAAUUUAAUUUUUAGAACUUCAAUUUUCAAAUAAUUCUCCAAAAUUCCAAUUUUCAAAAUUUCCAUUUUCAAAAAUAAUUUUCCAAAAUUCUAAUUUUCAAAAAUUCUAAUUUUUCAAAAUUUCAAUUUUCAAAAAUUCUAAUUUUUCAAAAUUUCAAUUUUCAAAACUUACAUUUUCAAAAAUAAUUUUCCAAAAUUCCAAUUUUCAAAACUUCCAUUUUCAAAUAAUUUUCCAAAAUUCAAGUUUUCAAAUUUAAUUAUUAAGAAAUCCCAUUCUCAAAUAAUUCUCCAAAAUUCCAAUUUUCAAAAUUUCCAUUUUCAAAUAAUUUUCUAAAAUUCCAUUCUAAAACAAUUCUCCAAAUUUCCAAUUUUCAAAACUUGAAUCAUUUUCUAAAAUUCCCAUUUUCAAAUUUAAUUCCCAUAAUUUCCAUUCUCAAAUAAUUUUUCAAAAUUCCAAUUCUCAAAUUUAAUUUUUGAAACUCCCAUUUUUCGAAUAAUUUUUCAAAUUUUCAUUUUUUUUAAAUUUAAUUUUUAAAAUUUCAAUUUUCAAAACCCUAGUUUUCUUUCAAAUAGUUUUAAUCCCACUUCAGUUUUCAAAUAUUUUUAAUUUUACAACUUUUCAUCAUUCAUUAGGGUUUUAAGUCACUAAAAAUCAUAUUUUUAAAUAAACUUGCUACUUUUCCUUUCAGGUAAGCACUUUCACAAAUUUUCUUUGUUUUUAAAAUAAUAUUUUGUUUCUCUUAAUUUUAAAUAAACAUGAAGGCAAUUUUCAUAAUUUCAAAAUAAUGGAAUUUAUGGAAUUAAUUCAUGCAAAAUAAUUGGGCUUUGGUGGGAGCCUAACAUUCAUGACAUUUCUUUCAAAAAUAAUUCAAGUGAAUUGCAUUAUCGAUAUUGUUUGAUUUUGAUUGGUUUUGUGUGAGAUAUUUUACACUUAAUAUUGUGCACUAAUUCUGUUUCAUGAUAGCGCUUUAUUACCUCUAGUCAAGGUACGCUCUCACUCUCAUUUUGUUUAUUUAUUCGUUAUCAUAACUUGCUUUUGAUCUAUUAUCUUUUUGGUAUUCAUUGAUUUUUCUAGUUAAUUGUCAUGUUUGCUUCACCUUAUUUAGUAGAGACCCAUUUUUCAGGGGCUUAGAGGGGUGCUACGGUCUUUACCGUACUUUUCCAAUAAGUAACCUAACCCUCGAAUCCGACUUUGGUCUUCCACAAACUAUCUUUUCCAAAUAAGGAGUCACACUUAGAGUUUUCUUUCUUAUUUUGUUUUCCCUUAAAAAUAAAAUAAAAAUAAGUGGUGACUCCAAGUAUUUUCUAAAAAUCAUUUUUUUUUUCAAAUAAAAAAAGCGAGUUUUGCCAUCAAGUGGAAACACAUCUUGCGAAAAUGUGGGGUCCACAUAUCCCCUUCCAUUCCUUCAUACCCAAUGAAAUCUAAAUAAAUCGCCAGCCUAUUUUUUCAUUCUUGCUUCCAACCUCUUUUUUAAUAUUUAAAAUUGAUAAUAUAAAAUCUCUGCACAUGAUAUUGCCCACUUUGUCAUGGAAUUGAGAACAAUGAUAAAUCACAAUUUUCACACAAAUGAAAGUCUGUAUACUUUUUUUUUUUUUUUUUUGUAAGGAAUAAUAUUGUGUAAGGAACCAUUAAUGUAAACAUAUUGAAGGAAAAACAUAAAAAAUAAAACAAAUAUCACAAAAGAUAUAUAGGUUUAUCUCCACUUUGAACCAUGAAUUCUUUUGAUCUACUAGAUGUUUUUCACUUUAGGUGUUUCUUACUCCUCUCAUAAUUUUUUCCUUUCAUAAUUUAGAAUAUUUAUAGAAAUAUUUCCACUGACUUUCCUUAUUCUAUAACGAAUUUAAUUACAAUCACCUAAAAUUAGAAAAUAUUCAUAACUUUAUGAUAUUCUAAAUAGGAAUUUAAGACACCUUCCUAACACAUAAUCAUUUAAAUUUAUUUUUUUCACACAUUAUACAUUUUAAUUUUUCAAUAACAAUUUCCACACAAAUAAUUAUUUUUAGAUUUUUCUUUUUAAAUUUUAACAACAUUAAUAAUUUAAUAUUUCAUCCAAAUAAAAAAUAGUGAAAUUAAGAAAAAUUAAAAGAAAGAUAAAUAAAUAAACUAGUCACAUAAUAUAUAAUAGUUUUUCAUAAAAAUUGUGAAUUAAUAAUCCAACCAGAGCUCUGGGCCCACAUGUUAUAUAUACUGAGAAUCCACAUGUUAUAAUGAGAAAAAAAAAUGGAUUUAAAAUUUAAAAUUAUUUGAACAUGUUUCUUCUAACUCGUUGUAUAUAUUUUCCUUAUUUAUAUAAAGAUUAAUUAUUUUAAUUAAUUUUGAUAAUAUUUGAUUUUGUUUUUCAAUGAUAAACGAAAUAUGAUCAAAUGAAUAAACCACUGAAGUAUACUAUGCAUUUUAUAUAAAGUUUUUUUAUAUUAGUACCCAUGUGAACUGAUCAUAAGAAACUGGGUACCAUCAAAACUGUACAUCUGGAUACUGAGGAUCAGCAGAACAGAUGUAAUAAAUGUUCAUAUUUUCUAUAAUGUCACAUGGGACUUAGGAUGGUUCUUGGUAGAUAAGUUAAUUGACUUGGAAUCUUAACCUAAUCUAUAAUUUAAAAAAUGGAUAAAUUAAUUAAUUUAAGAAUAGUAACGGUCCAUAUUUUGUCAGGCCACAUGGGAGUUAGAAUAGUUUAAAGUGAACAUGUGACCUGAUGUAUAAUAUAAAGUGGAAAACUUGUCCAUCGAAUCCAUAAAUUAUAUUAUAAUGGUCUACUGUAAUAUGCUUGACUUGGCAUCCCUUAUAGGGCUAUGCCAUGGGAGAAAAGUCUUCCCUUUGUAAAAGAAGGGUUGUGCAACAAAUGAAUGUUGUGUCUUUGCUUUUUGAACUGAUUUUUAUUGGCCCAACCCGACCUAACUCAGCCAUCAUAUAAUCAAUUUGAGCUCAACCUAAGUUAAAUAAUUUCAAUUCGAGUUGAGUACAUCAGAUUGGAAGUCAGGUUGGGUCAUCCUUUAGGUUGAUGUAUUUCAAGGUCGCACUGAGCUUGGGUUGGCCAACUUGCCGAGUUGCAACCCUAUAUAAAUUGUUUUACAAAAAUCGCAAUUUUGACGAUUUAUACUUUAUUUGAUAACUGUUUUUAAAAACAUUUUUAAAAAAAUAGUUUUUAAGAACAGUUUUAAAAAAUUGUUCUAUGAUAUUUUUUAAAACAAAAGUUUAUUUGGAAACUUAAAAUUGUUUUUAAUCUAUUUUUAAUAUUUUUCAAUGUGUUUUAAAAAUUUUUUUUAUAUCCAUAGCUUUAUUUUUAAUCAUUAGAUAUAUAUAUAUGUAUAUAUAUAUAUAUAUAUAUAUAUAUAUAAUUUUUAAAAAUAACUCUAAAAAAAAAAUUGAAAAUAAUUAAAAGAUAUUAUCUAAAAACACCAUAUUUUUUAUUUUUUAUUAUCUAUUUUCUAAUAAUAGAAAAUAGAAAAUGGUUUUUUAUUAUUAAAUGAAUUUUAAAAUUCUUUUAUUCUAAAAACCAAAAAUUGUUCUUGAAAACAAUUGCAGGGCAUUAAUGCAAAGUCCAAGGCAUUAAUGCAAAGUCGCCCAACCAUCCCCUUCCAUUCCUUCAUACCUAAUGAAAUCCAAAUAAAUCACCCUUUUUUCAUUCAUGCUUCCAACGUCUUUUCUAAUAUUUAAAAUUGAUAAAUAUAAAAUCUCUCCAUAUGAUAUUGCCCACUUUGUCAUAGAAUUGAGAAUAAUGAUAAAUCACAAUUUUCACACAAAUGAAAGUUGUAUACUUUUUUUUUAUAAGGAAUAAUAUUGUGUAAGGAAGUAUUAAUAUAAACAUAUUAAAGGAAAAACACGAAAAAUAAAACAAAUCAUAUAAAAGAUAUAUAAGGUUUAUCUUCACUUUGAAUCAUGAAUCCUUUCGAUCUAUUAGAUGUUUUCACUUUGGGUGUUUUUUUCUCCUCUCAUAAUUUUUUUUCUUUAUAAUUUAGAAUAUUUAUAAAGAUAUUUAUACUAAUUUUCCUUAUUUUAUAAGAAAUUUAAUUACAAUCACAUCUAAAGUUAGAAAAUAUUCAUAACUUUAUGAUAUUCUAAAUAGGAAUUUAAGACACCUUCCUAACAAAUAAUUAUUUAAAUUUAUUUUUUUCACACAUUAUACAUUUCAAAUUUUCAAUAAAAAUUUCCACAUAAAUAAUUAUUUUUAGAUUUCUCUUUUUAAAUUUUAACAACAUUAAUAAUUGAAUAUUUCAUCCAAAUAAAAAAUAGUGAAAUUAAGAAAAAUUAAAAUAAAGAUAAAUAAAUAAAUUAGUCUCAUAAAUAUAUAAUAAUUUUUCAUAAAAAAUUAUGAAUUAAUAAUCCAACCAAAGCUCUGGGCCCAUAUGUUAUAUAUAUUGAGAAUCCAUAUGUUAUAAUGAGAAAUAAAAAAUAAAAAAAUGGAUUUAAAAUUUAAAAUUAUUUCAACAUGUUUCUUCAAACUCAUUGUAUAUAUUUUCCUUAUUUAUAUAAAGAUUAAAUAAUUCAAAAAUAUACAAGUAUUUUAAUUAGUUUUGAUAAUAUUUGAUUUUGUUUUACAAUAAUAAACGAAAUAUGCUCAAAUGAAUGAACCAUUGAAGCAUACUAUGCAUUUUAUAUAAAGUUUUUUUAUAUUAGUACCCAUGUGAACUGAUUAUAAGAAACUGGGGACUAUCAAAACUGUACAUCUGGAUACUGAGGAUCAGCAGAACAGAUAUAAUAAAAAAUGUUCAUAUUUUCUAUAGUGUCACAUGGGACUUAGAAUGGUUCUUGGUACAUACGUUAAUUGAUUUGGAAUCUUAAUUAACCUAAUCUAUAAUUAAAAAAUGGAUAAAUUAAUUAAUUUAAGAAUAGUAACGGUCCAUUUUUUGUCGGGCCACAUGUAGCCCUUACCUGAUAUAUAAUAUAAAGUGGACAAGUUGGAGCAUGCUUCCCAGAGUGAUUUAAAAAUUGUUGAAAAUUAAUGUAGAUGGCACCACAUUUUAUAUUAUUGAAUACAUCCACAACCUUUAAUUACAACUGGCAUGGCCUGGCAUGACUUGUCCACGGAAUCCAUAUUAUUAAUCAAUACCCAUGUGACCUGGCCUAUCCCAUCCACCAUAAAGAUAUCUCUUACUUUGUUCUCUAUUCUCUCACAAUUCCCUCAGCUUCUCAUCCUGUACGUGCUGUAUUUUCUUGGCUUUCUGCUACUUUGAGUUGUUCCGAAAUGGCUGAUCAAAUUCCAUUCGGUGUUGUGGAGCACAUUUUGACCAAGUUGGGGUCCAAGGCGUUUCAAGAAAUUGGAUCCAUGUAUGGUGUUCCAAAGGAGAUGACCAAGCUCAAUGGGAAACUGGGCACCAUCAAGGCUGUGCUUUUGGAUGCUGAGGAGAAGCAGCAACAGCAGAGCAAUCGUGCAGUCAAAGAUUGGGUCCGGAGGUUCAGAGGUGUUGUUUAUGACGCAGAUGACUUGGUGGAUGACUAUGCAACCCAUUAUCUUCAGCGAGGAGGAUUGGGAAGGCAGGUCAGUGACUUCUUCUCAUCUGAAAAUCAAGUUGCUUUUCGUUUAAACAUGAGUCAUAGACUCGAAGAUAUCAAAGAAAGGAUAGAUGAUAUUGCAAAAGAAAUCCCCAUGUUAAAUCUGACUCCACGGGACAUAGUACUACACACACGGGUGGAGAAUAGUGGGAGAGACACCCAUUCAUUCGUGUUAAAAUCUGAAAUGGUAGGAAGAGAAGAAAACAAAGAGGAGAUAAUAGGGAAGUUAUUGUCGUCCAAGGGUGAAGAAAAGCUUUCGGUUGUUGCCAUUGUAGGCAUUGGGGGGUUGGGUAAGACCACCCUUGCUCAAUUGGUAUACAAUGAUGAAAGAGUGGUCAAUCAUUUUGAGUUUAAGAUAUGGGCUUGCAUUUCUGAUGAUUCUGGUGAUGGUUUUGAUGUUAAUAUGUGGAUCAAAAAAAUUUUAAAAUCUCUGAAUGAUGGGGGUGCUGAAAGUCUGGAGACUAUGAAAACUAAGCUUCAUGAAAAAAUAAGUCAAAAGAGGUACUUGCUAGUCCUCGAUGAUGUUUGGAAUCAAAAUCCUCAACAAUGGGAUCACGUGAGAACUUUAUUAAUGGUUGGUGCUAUAGGUAGUAAAAUUGUAGUAACCACCAGAAAACCUAGAGUUGCAUCACUCAUGGGAGAUUAUUUUCCAAUUAAUUUGAAAGGUCUUGAUGAAAACGAUUCUUGGAGGUUGUUUUCAAAAAUCACAUUUAAAGAUGGAGAGAAGGAUGUGCAUACAAACAUCACCCAAAUUGGAAAAGAAAUUGCAAAAAUGUGUAAGGGAGUUCCUCUCAUUAUUAAGUCUUUAGCAAUGAUAUUGCGGUCUAAAAGAGAACCGGGGCAGUGGUUGUCUAUUAGAAACAAUAAAAAUUUGCUGUCACUCGGAGAUGAAAAUGAGAAUGUUGUAGGGGUGCUGAAAUUAAGUUAUGAUAAUUUGCCAACUCAUUUGAGACAAUGUUUUACAUAUUGUGCUUUAUUUCCAAAAGACUAUGAGAUUGAGAAAAAGUUGGUGGUACAACUAUGGAUAGCACAAGGUUAUAUUCAAUCUUCAAAUGAUAAUAAUGAGCAAUUAGAGGAUAUAGGGGAUCAAUAUUUUGAGGAAUUAUUGUCAAGGUCAUUGUUGGAAGAGGUUGAAGAUGAUUUUGCUAAUACAGUAAUGUAUAAAAUGCAUGACCUUAUACAUGAUCUUGCACAAUCAAUUGUAGGAUCUGAGAUCCUUGUUUUAAGAAGUGAUGUAAAUAAUAUUCCAAAAGAAGCUCAUCAUGUAUCAUUGUUUGAAGAGAUAAAUCUUAUGAUCAAGGCUCUAAAGGGAAAACCCAUAAGAACCUUUCUUUGUAAAUAUUCUUAUGAAGAUAGUACAAUUGUAAAUUCAUUUUUUUCGAGUUUUAUGUGUCUACGUGCGUUGAGUUUAGAUGAUAUGGAUAUAGAGAAGGUGCCAAAGUGUUUAAGUAAAUUGAGUCAUUUAAGGUAUCUUGAUCUUUCCUACAACAAUUUCGAGGUACUUCCAAAUGCUAUUACAAGGUUAAAGAAUUUGCAAACACUAAAACUCACAAGCUGUCGAAGAUUAAAAAGAAUUCCAGACAAUACAGGAGAAUUGAUCAAUCUUAGACACUUGGAGAAUGAUAGCUGUUAUAACUUGGCUCAUAUGCCACAUGGAAUCGGCAAGUUGACUUUACUUCAAAGUCUACCAUUGUUUGUGGUUGGGAAUGACAUAGGGUUAAGGAAUCACAAAAUUGGUAGCUUGAGUGAAUUGAAAGGCCUUAACCAACUAAGAGGAGGGUUAUGCAUAAGUAAUCUUCAAAACGUGAGGGAUGUUGAACUGGUAUCCAGGGGGGGAAUUUUGAAAGAAAAACAAUAUCUUCAGUCCUUGAGAUUGGAAUGGAAUCGGUGGGGCCAAGAUGGGGGGGAUGAGGGUGAUCAGUCAGUGAUGGAAGGCCUUCAACCACACCAACAUCUAAAGGAUAUCUUUAUAGACGGGUAUGGAGGUACGGAGUUUCCAAGUUGGAUGAUGAAUAGCCUGCUUCCUAACCUAAUUAAAAUUGAAAUUUGGGGAUGUUCAAGAUGCAAAAUUCUGCCACCCUUUUCUCAACUCCCUUCUCUCAAGUCUUUGGGGCUUCAUGAUAUGAAAGAAGUGGUGGAGUUAAAGGAGGGUUCAUUAACAACGCCACUCUUCCCAUCUCUUGAAUCGCUCGAACUCUCUUUCAUGCCAAAGUUGAAGGAAUUGUGGAGGAUGGACUUACUAGCAGAGGAAGGUCCUUCCUUUUCUCAUCUUUCUCAAUUAAAGAUCAGUUAUUGCCAUAACUUGGCAUCCUUGGAACUGCAUUCUUCUCCUUCUCUUUCUCAAUUAGAGAUCCAUUAUUGCCCAAACUUGACAUCCUUGGAACUGCCGUCAUCUCUUUGUCUUUCUAAUUUAUAUAUCGGAUAUUGCCCUAACUUGGCAUCCUUGGAACUGCAUUCUUCUCCUUGUCUUUCUCGAUUAGAAAUCAGGGAAUGCCCUAACUUGGCAUCCUUCAAAGUGGCUCCAUUACCUUAUCUUGAGACACUAUCUCUGUUCACAGUUAGAUAUGGUGUGAUAUGGCAGAUAAUGUCUGUCUCUGCUUCAUUGAAGUUUCUGUAUAUUGAAAGCAUAGAUGAUAUGAUAUCUCUCCCGAAGGAGCUACUUCAACAUGUUUCUGGCUUGGUAACGUUACAGAUCCGUGAGUGUCCUAACUUGCAAUCCUUGGAACUGCCCUCAUCUCCUUCUCUUUCUGAAUUAAGGAUCAUAAAUUGCCCUAACUUGGCAUCCUUCAAUGUGGCAUCAUUACCUCGUCUUGAGAAACUAAGCCUGCGUGGAGUCAGAGCAGAGGUACUGAGGCAGUUAAUAUUUGUCUCUGCUUCUUCUUCAUUGAAGUCUCUGCGUAUACGGGAGAUUGAUGGUAUGAUAUCUCUCCCAGAGGAGCCGCUUCAAUAUGUUUCCACUCUCGAAACUCUCUACAUUGUUAAGUGCUCUGGUUUGGCAACAUUACUACACUGGAUGGGCAGCCUUUCCUCGCUUACG